rnacentral:lncRNA from 1 species
UGUGUGCCCCAUCCGUACCGCUUGUGCCCUGCUGCUUCUUUUUGGGUUUCUGCCUGUGUCUUCUCUUACCCGAAUGCGUGUUGCCGCUGCUCGACGUGCCGCUUCAGCUACGGGCGCUUCCUGGUGGGCGCCCGCACCGAUGCCGACAUGAACCAUGGCAAGGCCAAGCGAGCCAUGCGCACGCGCGCUUUCCAGGACUGGAACAAGACGCAGGUACGAGCGGCUGGGGCCCCACAGCAGAUAGAGCGGACGCAUCGCACAGGACGAGGGUGUCACCCCCAUCCAAGCGGUGUGCCCCAAACUCUUGACCCAACCGCUCACACGCGACACCGUUGCAUCUCACUCCUCUUUGCAUGUCUCAACACGGGAACUCCUCCUCCCCGCCUGAGCGCCCCGUCCCACUUUGCCCCCAAACAGCACCAACUAGCGGAGCAUGGACCGGAAGCUAGCGUGCCCGGCCUGCGCUACGUGCCGCGCCCCGCCUGCCCCUUCUGUACGCGCGAGGCAGCCUGCACGCCCUCCCCGCCGCCCGCCGCCCGCACCGGCUGCUACCCCGCCGGCGGGCACGGCGGCGCCGGCAUGAUCUUCAGUGUGGGGCUGCUGCGGCGGCUGUCGGCGGCGCGCAUGAAGGAGUGCUUCAUGCAGCAGUUUGGUGCGCCCGGCGGGGACUCGCUCCUUUCCACCUGCCUGUGGCGCGAGGGCUACGCCUUCACGGACCCCGGCACGUCCACACUGGCAAUGUACGACGGCAACUACGUGCUGUUCAGGUACGGUACAGAACAGUACAACAGGGGAAUUGUACGGCGCGGUGGUUGUACGGCGUCGAGCCUCUUGUAUCUCCUCAUCACCUGUAGUCAGCUCUGCAGCAUUGACAACGGCAUUACCCAUGUUAAGUGCCCCCACCCGCCUUCUUAUCUUUCCACGCUGCCUAAACCGCAUCCGCCGUCUCAUCGUCCACCCUGCGCAGUUCUGAGGCGGGCAAGUGGGCGCUGCACGACCCACUCACGGUGCUCAUCAGGGGAAAAUGCGACUCGCGGUGCAAGUGGCUCAUCCGCAACGCAGCCAGCCACCACGGCCGCGGCCGGCAUUUCCAGGUGAGCCCAGAUUGCUCUGGUCGUUGAAGCGCUGCUGCCAUACGCCGCCUCCUCCAUUAUCUACGCAACCGAUGCACUGUCCCGGUUGCGUAGAUACGGUAGUGAAGGAGGCGGCGUACGGCGACAGGUAACAUUCGUACCGUAUCACUGACGUUCCCAACCCACUCUACCGAUGUCAAUGUCCACUUCCUGCAUGCUCACAGGGUUUUGGCCAGUCGGCUGCGUAUCUGUAUGCGGCGGUAGCGUCGCAACGCGCGGCGCUCAAAUGGCAGGCCUUCAUGGCGCAGCGCGACCUCGAUUUGAAGGAGCUUGCUGCGUCAAUGCGUGGCGAGAGCGCGGAGCGGGAGGACGAGGAGGAGCAGGAGGAGAGCGGUGGCGAGCGGUCAAAGGGUGACAAAGAGGGCAGCACGAGUCGGCGGAAGAUGCAUAGCGCGGGCGCUAAGGCGCGGCGCGACGGCGGCGCUGCCGUCGACGGCGGCGGGGGCAGCGCUAGCGGCAAGUCGAUCGGGUCCGGGCACCAGCAGCAGCACAGCAAGUCCCAGCACCAGAAGCACCAGCAGCACGAGGGCCUGGCCAAGGGGUGGUUUGGCGGCCGAAAGGCCAGUGGCGGCGGCGCAGCCGCUGCCAGCAGAAAAGCCGUGAACAAAAGGGCUGCGGCGUCCAACAAUGAGGCGCUGCUUGCCUCCAGCAAGACAGCGCAGGCCGCGGAGGCGCUACAGCGGGGGCUCAAGGCGGCGGCGGACGUGGCGGCGGGGGAGCGCCGGGUGGCAGCGCAGCAUGCAGCGGCGGCGGAGCGCGCGCUGGGCGUGCAUGGAGGGCUGGGGUCUGCGUCGCGGUCACUGCAGGGUGAGAAGAGCAGCUGGGAGCGGGAGGGGGAGUCGGAGGUGGGAUUAGAUUAUGUGCCGCAUCGGCGAGGCUACUUUGACAGCAGUGACCUCAAGUGAAUCUGCAGCGUGGCUGUGGUGUUGGAGCCGCGUGCUAGGGGCACAAAGAAACGUGUAAGGCAUACCAGAUGUGUGAUGCAUGCACGUGUGUGCGGCGCACUUGUAUUAGCACGUGGAAGUAGGAGCGUAUCAUAGACUAGCUGUGAGAAUCUUAUUGGUUAAUGCGCACAUGCACAGCGCAGCCUAUGGAGUUAGAUUGAAUUGUAGCGCCGAUGGCCGGCGGUAGGAAGUAAGGACACUAGACAGGAAUGCACAAUUCACCUCCUGCUCAUGGGUCACUGACAGGUAUUGCUAGCCCUUGGGUUGUCCAUUGUUCGCGCAACCGACAAAGUGGUUUCUUUUCUGGUCUCGCCAACAUGAGGCUACACUCCUGGCUGGCACGGUGCCAUACGAGAGCCAUAAGAUGAAAGGUGCUGGGAAAUGUAGGGACGCCAUGCAAGCAACCUAAAACCAUGACCGGCAUGGUAAACAGAUCACUGCACCGCACUUGGGGUUUGCGCGACGCGAAGGGGGGAUUACAGGAACGCACGAUUGCACGAUAGCACACUCAGGAGUCGUACACACUCGUUCUAAGAAAUUUGUAGCAGUUGUCAGCCGAGGCUCCCUGGACAAGGUACCAGCAAAGCAUGUACAGAAAUAGCAAAGCAGACUUCACUCACUCCAAUAUAACGUCAAACACACAGGUACACACACAUACUCGCACACACACGCGCAGAGACACGAAGCCUCCUACGCCUCCUAGUCCUUCAGUGUCAUCCAAUGGCCCUCGCUGUAGGUGCGGCCGAAAUCUCCGACCUCGUCACCCAGCAGCCACAGCACGUACUCGCCGCGGGGCGCCACGCCGGGCUGGGAGGUUGGCGGGGCGGUGACAGUGAUGGUGCUGGUGGCGGCGUCCACGGUGAAGGGCUGCAUGCGGGCAGGCAAGUGGAUGGGGAUCGGUGGGUGAGACCAUUGGGUAGAGGCAAGGUGCAAGUAAAUGGUGCGAAGGAGUACUUGGCUGGAAGCGGCGGCGGCCGUGCAAUGAAUUAUACGCACGCACUCACCAGCACAACAGCCCGCUGGUUCAUGUUGAUGCAAUGGGUGGCGGCGCAGGGCGCGGUGAGGGUAACGCCCGUGAUGUGAACGCCGGUGUACGUGUAGGACACUGUGAAAACACUGUCAGAGGAAUGAGAGGGAUGGAGGAACGGGUGGAGGAAGGGGUCGAGGGAUUGAGGGGUGAAGGGAGGAAGGGAUGCACGUGGCCACGUGGCAUAACCUUGACCGGAAGGUUUCUUUGGGUGGCAUAUGCUGCUGAGGCGCUAAGAGAUAGGCUCAUAGCGUCACAGGCAGCACGCGACCGAGGCCCUCCCGAUGGUUCGCCCCCAGGGUUACUUCACUUACUCUCCGCGGUGGAUCAGGUCGGGGGCUGAGGUAAUGACGGGGCGGUCCACGUCCCUGAUCUCGGCAGGUGUGCCCAGGGUCAGGCGGUAUUCGUAGUCACCGGUGGGGUUGGGGUCGAUGAGCCCUUCGUAGCCGGACGGCUGUGGCAUGCGCAGUGGCAGCAUAGUGUUGCGGUGAGAAGGGAGAAAUAAACAUGCCGUGGAAGGGAAACAAAGAAUCUGGUCCAGGCCCGUUACCGGAAGUUGCGACACCCACCACAGGCAGGGCGCACUCGUCGCAGCCUGAAGAGAAGAUGUGUCCGGUGAUGUCCAGACAGGCGGUGGAGUGGUAGGAGCGCAUGAUCACUGCGUGUGUGUAGUUGUGUGCGGGGAACACGUAAAGAGGCGGCGGGCGACACGUAAUAAGGGGCCGCCAAAGGAAGUCAGGAACGGGGCGGCACUUGAUAUGCCGCAGGAGGGGCGUGCGGACUCACUGGGCAAUGCGGGCCCUAAGCCUAUCAGGUGCAGAGAGAAGCAGCGGGCACGCACACGUGGAUCACGCACGGGCUAGCUACUCACGCACGGGCUAGCUACUCACGCACGGGUGCUGUGAUCUGGUAGCGGCCGCCCUCGGGCUUGCUGGGGUUGUACACGAACGACACCGGGGCGCCGUUGGCAGCCUUGAGCCCAGUGGCAGACACACCCGCACGGCCGGUCUGUGCAUGCGUGCGUGGUGGCCAGAACAGGCGGAGCCGAAAGUAAGCGGACAUUGCAUUGUUAGGUGUAGGCAGCAAGGCAGCAUGCGUGCCACGUGGGCGUCUGGUGUGCGUGAUUGACCGCUGCGACGAAGCCAUGCACAGAUGUGUGCGUGUAUAGCGGCGCUGCUCCAUCGCCACCAGCAGCUAGCGGCCAUGUAGCAAACCGCCUAACCUCUCACGCACCGUGGCGCCGCCAUGCACCAAGAUGCGCUCGUUGGGCAGCACUGCGGAGAUGGCAUGAGUCAAGCGGCAUUAUUAGCUCACGCAGCACGGCACACGUGCACACCCAAGGGGGAGCAAGUAACUCAAGGAUCCACUACUGUGAUUGUUGCACUUGACACAUGCAUUUACCGAUUGCAUCUGCCAGCAGGCGGCGGUCGGGCAUGAGCUCAAUCUGCCAGCUGUGGGGCACGGGGAGCGGGGACGGGGUGAGCCGGAAGUAGUGGGGGUGCAGUUAUCAUUAAGAGCGGGAGGGAAUGGGCAAAGCCACGCACAGACAAACCAUGCACACAGUCACACACCGCAGACACGUGCUGCACUACGCAGGGGGUGUCGGUAUUGCUCACCCGCCGUUUACGACACAGAUGUCCGUGUUGGUAGGGCCACAGUACGCAAAGUCCAGGCGAGCAGAGACGUUUGAUGCGGGGGUGCCAGGCGAGACCCUGUAGGGGUUCUGGCCGCCAAAAAUGGUGAAGGAGAAGGUGUCGUAGACACCAGUAGCGGCGUUGGGUCGCAGGGCGUGCAUGGCGAUCGUGGCGGUGUAGGGGUACAUGGUGUGCCACCUGUGUGCGUGUACGGAAAACAUGGGUAGGUCACACAGCAUGGGACAGGACAGGAGACACAACGAGAUCCUGAGGUUUCCGGGGAUUAUGUGAGUCAAUCAAGGUGUGGCAGUGACGCGCCGCAGUGGAAAAACAGUUGGGUAAGAGACGUGUUUUGAAACGAAACGAAAACUCACGGGCCAUAGUUGGUGGGAAGUGGUGGGAGACUCAGGAUGUCAUUGAAGUGCUCAUCUGUGAUGGAGCCGCCGCGGUCGCCCCACCACAGGAUCUCCUUGUUCGGCAGGAGUGCCAUGAAUGGGUAGCUGCAUGCAAAUAAUGAUAAAGAGGGCAACUUAUAUACGUAACUGUGAGCGUGUGUGAUGGAGGAGGAACUUUAAAGCAGAGCACAGCGAACGUUGCUAGCACAUGCGUGUGUUCGCAGGUUAGGCUACUGGUUACACGCAGGAGAGUACGUACACGGCAACACUCAAUGACUCAACAGAUUCGCGCACACAUUCUGACUCACUAGUUCAGGCCCAUGCUCGCACUGAAGGCCGCGGGGUGCGGGACGGGCGUGGUGGGGGCCGAGGGGUUGUUGGAGUCCCACAGCUCUGAGAAGGUGUAGGCAGGGCCCGAGUCGGAGUUAGCUGUGCCGCCAACCACCAAGACCUGCGUGUGUAAGCAGGUGAUGACCAGGUGGACGGGUGGGCAGGCGGACAGCGGUAAGAUUGGCAGGGCCCGCUGGGGCGCAUGGGCUGACCCAGGUAAGUAAUGGGAAUAUAAUGUACGUAGUCGGGUUUCCCGGACCAUGUGACACGGCAACACGACGGUCGCGCCCGCCACAGGCACGGCUGCCACAGUGCCAGACACAGCAUACGGUACGUACGGACGGCAGGAGCAGCAACGGCAGCACACGGCAGCACGAGGCGACAGCGCACACACACACACACACACACACACACACACACACACACACACACACACACACACACACACCGUAGCCGUGUGUGCACGCACACACCUUGCCGUCGUUCAGGCGGAGGGCGGUGGGGUACCAGCGCGGAACACUCAGCGUGCCAACUUGUAUGUAUUUGCCCGUGGCGGCAUCGUAGCGCUGUUGUGUUGAUGGGGGGAGCGAGGGCAUAUCAAACCUCACGUGAGGUCGCUGAUGCCGAGCAGGUGCUAGGCCUUGGCAGUGAAACAAAUAGAUAUAGCAUGUGCAGGUAGAAGAGGAAAGUGUUUUCCCACAAACCUAGGUUACAGAUCCCGGCUCGAGCCCGUACCGUAGCGCUGAAGCGGCCAUCCACGUUCGCGGGCUUGUUGCCGGAGUUGCCCCACUCGCCGCCCAUGUAGAUGAUGGAUCCUUCCUCAAGGAUGGUGGGGCCUAUGGGGUCCACGGGAUGCAGGGCAGCGAAAGAGCAAGCGCCGCGUGCUUCAGCAGCUUUUGUUGCCCCGCAUGCCACUGAUGGCGGCGAUGAUGCCUGCAGACUGCAGUAGCCUGGCAGCUACGGUAUAAUACUGAACGGGCAAGAGCCAUCCUGAACAAUAAACACGCGAGGCCACAGUGUGGACUCACCGCUGCAGCCAAUGGCUAUGCCCGGAGCGUAGCCAGUUGACUGUCAGGGAAGGAGUGCGCGAGAACUUCCGUUGGUGGUUGGGUAUGCAUGGCGCAGAGAUUGCAAUGGACGCCAGUGUCUGUUUCAACACCACACGAUUCCCCCCCCCACACACACACUCUAGUCAAACAGGCCCCAAGCUUACCGUGUUCGUUUCUAAGUCCAAAGACCCGGCCAUGGGUGUCCAGGUGGAAGAGACACGGCGCCAGCCUUGCAUGUACUUGCGAGUGCGGGGAAUAUUGGCCAGUGACAGUGAAACAACCUUGGCUGUGAAGGGCAAAGCCUCGAAGUAGCCAGCGGGCGCAGCAGUGCCAGGGGCCAGGGGAGGGAAGGGAGGGAGAGGGGGAGGGGGCGAGGGCGGAGGGGAAGGCGGGAAGGGUGACGGAGGCUUAGGCGGGCUGGGCGGGGGGCUAGGCGGCUUGGGUGGGGGCUUGGGCGGGCCGGGUGGCUUGGGAGGGGGCUUCGGAGGGCCGGGCGGCUUGGGAGGGGGCUUGGGAGGGCCGGGUGGCUUAGGAGGAGGCUUGGGAAGGCCAGGCGGCUUGGGCGAAGGUGGAAGAGAUGUUUGCAGCAGGCUACGGCCAGCCUGCGCGGGGUUCGGAGGGGUUUAUUUAGGUUAAGGCAAGAGACAUGACAUCCCCGGACAUCACAUUGAGCUUUAAGCUAUACGUUCGACACGAUGUUUCUCGACGCAGUCUCAAAAUGAUGUGCCUUGCUACUAACUUACGUAUGGAUUCGCAUCAGCCAGUGUAAGCGGAGUGCGCGCCUGCGCGCUGUGCGGCAUCGCGGUGAAGAUGGCAAUAACCAGCACGGCAGUCGCGACGCUGCAGCCCACAGCGGACCCGCCGGCGCCACGCCGCUGCAUGUUACAACACAUUGGUAUGCCGCGCAUGUAUCGUAGGUGCAAGGCGCACUCGGGUUAAGCAGAGCCGCAGCGCAGUGCGUGCCGCCAGCCUGGCUGGCGCAGGGCCUGAUCUUGGGCCUGAUUCGAACUUUCUGCGUGCCAAGCGAGAGCCCUGCGAAUGUGCAACUCCACUACAUGUUUUGUAGCCUGCUUCACCAUUUAUAGAUCAAACGUGACAGACGGGCUCGUAAAUGCGUUGGCUGUCUGUCGUUUGGCCCGACCAAGGCCCGACAGCUUUGUAACUGGACUUUGCACAGGCACACGAGGCAGGGCGAGGACAGAUGUUUUCUACAUUCUUCAUCUAUCUACAUUCAUCCAUUGUAACUCCAAGCAGCGAAUAAGGAGGCUCCUGCCAAAGGAUCCAACCGCGAACCGUCAUUUAGCGCCUUUACUCUUGCGUUAGUGCAAAAAUAGUGGAAUUAGCGAUCAUUCACCAUGUAAGCUUGCGCAACGUCAUCGUAUAUUCAUGUGUUACUUCUAUACUGCUUCCUGACAAGACAGUUCGGGGAUCAUUCAGUUCGGGGAUCGUUCAUUGUUCAUGGGCCUCUGCAAUUGGUGCAAUAUGCGCGUGCAGAGGCCUGGAGAAGAGGGCCUGGGGCCUGGGAAAUAGGAUUUACUCCUGCUUCGGGGCGAGGCACAGACUGGCACACUAGGGCGUGUGUCCCGAGACCACGCACCCCGAGGCAAGUAUGAACGCGGUGACCGUUCAGAGCCACCACUGCUUUCCUUUUCCUUCCGUGCCGUGCUCGAUGCCUCGACCUACGUGCAGCGCGCGCCCGAAUGUGCGACGCCCCUGAUGCAGAGCAUGCAGCCCCACCGCAGUUCCACACUUCCACCUCCUGCUUAGCGCACGUCCUUCGCCACCUGCAGACUCAAAGUCAAAGGCUGUCUCAACUCUCAAGAUCGGUUCACCGGUCCAGUGCGUGACCACUGAACGGCUGUCACCACCACGGCACGACCCACGGCCAAGCCCAUGGCCUCGAUUCUUGUAUAUCAGCAAUUCCGUCCCCAAACCAUGCUCACUUGCUGGCUAACGCUUUGAGUCUUGGAUGUAUGUCAGUCAGUCACAGUUCCCGAACACUCAACACGCGUGAAGAUAUCAUGCCCACCCUACUGCGGCACAGCACUCAAGCACGUGCUCUAAUCGGGAUGAGGCGGCUUUCAACCCACAAGAUCGAACCUGCUUGACGACGCGAUUGGCUUAGCGCAAUGAAGCGCCUAGGUGAAGAGACCCGGGCUCCUCUGAGAGCGCCAACUCAUCGCUCGCAAGAUUGCGCUCGGCCAUAUCAUGCCCACAACUAAUCCCUCAUUUGCUGCUCUCGCACUCGCACUCCUCUCAACAUGUCUGCUCACACAUUACGAGGCGGCCCCCUUCAGUAAACCAGCAGCCAUACGCGACCGUGCGUGCUGUUUCAUUCUUCUUAAGCGGCCACACAGCAGGCCACAAGGCCGCAGACACGGUCACCUCCAAAAACAGGGAACCCAUUCUUCUUUAGCAAUAUGGCAUUAAGCUACCUCUUGCCUCAUCAACACGCACGUGGUCUCUUACACGUGCUUUCUAACACACGUCACCGCAGUCCGCACUUCUACUUGUCCUGCUUUUCCCCCUUGCCGCCGCCUCGCCCCGUGAGUGACUUGAUCCAAUCCGGGAUCCAGCGUGGCGCCACGAACAGCGAGCGACCCGUGGCGUACACCGUGCCUUUGCCGUUGGUGACCGUGGCUCGCAUCCACACCUGCACACCGCACACGUGGGGAUGCCAAAGCAGGAACACUUGAGGGCGCCGUUUCCCACCAUGCAUGUUUGCAGCCUCCGCUCGAGCAGCUGGCGCCAGCUCCUGCCCUUGCCGCACACGCUAUGGUUGCGCGCACAUGCGCAAGUUGCCUAGAUCCUGGCCUGCCCAGCCCAAAGCACGGCAUGACCUGCACACCACAGCGGCCACCGACGCGGCCCACCACCACUUAGACUGCCCCCCUUGCCCUCGUCCGUGCGCCCGUAGCCUCUCACCUUGCGGUCUGCCACCUUCUCCACCUCCGUAGACACCAGAAUGACAGAGCCGCACGGGAUUUUCUGUGCGACGUGUGACACGGGUGGAAGCGGGGGACUAAGACGUGGAGGUGCAUACGUGCGCCGAGCCGCUGAAGCCGCAUUGCCACAUCCCGCCUCCUGACAGCCUCCGUACCUCCGACAGCCAAGACGGCCCAUGAUUACAGCCCCUCCACGCGCGCAUGCCUCUUCGCCCCUCAACCUUGCCCCUCGUCCCUUCCAAACCCACCCAAGCUCUCUACCAGCCUCCCUCGCACACCUCCCCCUCCACACCUCCCGUUCCCCACCUCCCUCUCCCAACACCUCCCGCUCCCCACACCUCCCUCUCCCCGCGCCUCCCUCUCACCCGCUUGUAGUCGACCUCCAGCCGGGCCGUGUAGGCGGGCGGCCGGAAGCCCAGCUGCCCGCUCCGCCACAGCGCAACCGCCAGCCCGCCUAGCGUCUCGUCCACCAGGGCCGCCGUGAGGCCGCCGUGCACGGUCUGCGGGAAGCCGCACACCUCCCUGCAGGGUGCGGAGGCGGGGGUGUGCGGUGCAGGUGCGGUGGAGGGGCGGUGCUGGGGACGUGAGCAAGGGAUGCGCUUGAGUGACGGCGAACGCACGCACAGCUUUCACACAUGCCGGCACACAAUUAUCUGCAGCGCACUAUUCGCAUGCGCAAUCUUCGUAUACCGUACAUACCGUCGGGUUAACACCUUCCCGUUCCCGUUCCCAACAUGCGCGCGGUUGAAAGGCGCGCAUCAAGCUGCCCCCGAUCCCUUCCUCUCUCCCCCUCCCCCUGCCUCCACUUUCGCCUCCGCACUCACUUGCCCAGCUCCACCACACUGUAGAACAUCUGUUUGCGCGUGUCGUAAAAGCAGCGCAGCUCCCGAAUCUGACCGCUCACAACCAUCGUCUCGAACUGCGAUGCAAGGAGGACGCCCCCGUCAGACGUCGACGCAGGGAGAUAGGCGUGCACAUGGGCAUGGGAGUCAUGUGCCAACUGCAGCCGCCGUGAUGGGCGUCCGCGUUGCCAAUGAUUGGUGCGUCACACAACCCCAGGUGAGCAUCGGCAGUUUCUUACAAGCAACAACCAAUCAACAGCCUACCGCCCCCGCCUCGCCCCCGCCCCCCUGCCCUUCGCCCUCAAGCCCUCCACCCAGUUGUGUUACAUAACCCCCGGUCAGCAUCGGUAUGCGCUUCUACCCAUAGCCUCAUCUCGGCCGUCAACGGCCUGACGUCUCAAGCUCCCCUGCCUCUCCACGGCCUCGGCCCCCAUGAUAAGCUCCCUCCCCUCCCCUCCCCUCCCCUCCCCUCCCCUCNNNNNNNNNNNNNNNNNNNNNNNNNNNNNNNNNNNNNNNNNNNNNNNNNNNNNNNNNNNNNNNNNNNNNNNNNNNNNNNNNNNNNNNNNNNNNNNNNNNNUCCCCUCCCCUCCCCUCCCCUCCCCUCCCCUCCCCUCCCCUCCCCUCCCCUCCCCUCCCCUCCCCUCCCCUCCCCUCCCCUCCCCUCCCCUCCCCUCCCCUCCCCUCCCCUCCCCUCCCCUUCCCCCCGCGGCCUCACCAGGUGGUCCUGCUCCACCACCAGCUUGCCCACCGGGUGCCGCCGCAGCUGCUGGCCCGGGCUCAGCACCUCCUCAACGCCCUCCUCCUCAGCCAGUUCGCGGACCCUGACAGCGGCAACAGGACAGAGAGGGCCGGGCCACACGACGGCGAGGGGUUAUCAAGGCAAGGGGAUGGAGUGGGGCAAUAGGAUGCACGUGCCAGGAGGCAGCCAGCACAGGCACAAUUAAAGCCGGCAGCGAGCGCGGCCCUGUGGAGCACGGGCGCCUGUGAUGCAAUGUGCGCCCAAGUCGGUGGGCCGGCAGGCGACACGCGGAUGACACGCGGACGACACGAGGUUGACACUCGGCGCCGCUGCCACAACGCCCCUGGCAUGGCGGUGGACGGCAACGCGCCAAACCCCCAACCCUGUCGCCGCCAAUCCCGUAUCAUGCCCCGGCACUUUUCCUCCUGCCGCGAUGAGUUGCCCUGCCCCAACCCCUUGCAUCCUCCCUCGUUUUCAUCCCAGGAUAACCUCAUUCAGUCUCACCAUGGGAUGCGGUCACUAGACAGGUCACCGUCCCCCUCGCUGUCGGUUGCCCGAUUGCUCUGGGCCAGAGCAAAGGCCGCGCCAGCGAACAAGACAGCAGAGCCGCCUAGACGCGCACCGCCCUUGGCAAGCACUGCGCGCACGAGGAGCGAGAGAUAGUGUGAUGUUGGGGCGGGUAAGACCGCAUCGGGCAGGGUGGCGGGAGAUGAAAGAGGAAAAGCGGGGACGUGGGUGUGCCUACCGUGUGGCACGCGCCACAGUUGCUGGGCAGCGCCCGAUGCACCGCCCGCGUCUUGCUCUUCCCGUGCACAAGCCACGCAACAAGCCCCUGCCAUGUGCGUGGAAAGCUGCAAAACUCUGCUAAUCACCUUGGAGCACGGGCCCGAUGUGCGCGUGAGCGGCUGUCACACAGAAAGUUCGGGAGCCAGGCCCCUGCUGCUGCCCAGGCGCUGGCGGUAGUCGCGGUAGCACGGGCCCACGCCACGCCUGAACCAGCGCUGCAAACUGGCGCCCUCCCGGCAUCAUGACUGCUAGCGACUGCGCUCGAAGCGCGCCCUGGCUUGCGCGCUUAUGCAGACUCAGCAAACGGCAAAAACGUUGCGCUCAAAAUCUAGCACGUUUAUGCAGCGGCUAAUCUGAUUGAAUUUGCAGGUAUUAUCGCUCUUAUCAAUUAGCUUACUGGGCGCAGGGAAAGGGCGCUGCUUCAGUGAGAAGUCGAGUGAAAUUGGUAUCCCUGAAACAAACGCACUGUUGACUGUGCCUUCACGAAUGCUUAUGCAAAUACCCUGCAGUGGUGUUUAUGUAUCAUUAUCGUUGAAAGCCCGGACAGAAAUCAACCUUGCCGCACGGAAACCCCCCCCCCCCCUUCCCCCGCUUCUCCACGCCGCCCCACCGCCCACCGCCACGCGUGGACAGUAGUGGAACCCCCGCCGUACACCUUCAGUUUCUCGUGAAGUAAGUAUCUAUUAUGGCAUGUUGCGAGUGGCAGUCCGUGGCGACGAGCCCAGGCCCUGGCAACGCCAAGAGCUUCGUUCAGGUUCGUUCCUGCCUUGUUGAUGGGACCCCAUCGUGUGCCGUCCAACUCAUGCCGAAUGGGGCUUGUGGUGGAGUUAUCCUAAAGCUAUACCACAGCUUACAGCACUCAAAAGCAGCUGGACAGUUCCAAGUGGAAAACAUACGCUGCAAUUGAGCUGGCAAUUGCCUAAGUAGCUUUGAACAAAGUGCGAGCACUGCUAUGAACAAAAUUCCCUUGCCAAAAUCUACAUGGGAUAAUCUAACGCCUGAGCUCGUGCGUCGCAUCGCCGAAUGUCUCCACCCGAACGAGGUGGCUUCGUCGCUUAAACUUGCCAACAGCGACACCGCCGCGGCCUUGUCAGACUAUAGGACCCUGUACUUGGCGCACGAUGGCAAAGAUAUAUAUAUUCGCCUGAAGGCGCAGCAGCCGUGGCCCGGGCACGCCUUCGUGGCGCACUGGGGGCGCCCGGAGCCGUGGCGCGAGCUAAGCCUUCGGCAGCGCGAGCGGUUACUAUGCCUGGCCGCGUCCUCGGGUCAUGCCGCCAGCCUGGACGCGGCGCUGCAUUUCAGCGGCUGCGCCCUGAAGCCGUCGGUGCUGACGGCGGCAGCUGUCGGCGGCGACGAGCUGGCGUCCAAACGCCUGUUGGCCGAAGGCUGCUCCUUAGACGAGGGCGUCUUUCGUGCAGCUGCCCGCGGCGGCCACCUGCGGUUGAUCCAGCUGCUGCUUAACACGACCGUCAGCAACUACCUCUGGACGCCGUGCCUUGCCGCGGCGGCGCAGGGCGCCUGCGCCGGCGGCCAGCUCGCCAUUCUCACUUGGCUGCAGCAGGAGCAUGGCUACAGCCUUCGUGCGUCCAAUGUGGGGGCGGCGGCGGAGGCGGGCCACGUCGAGCUGGUGGAGCGCCUCAUGCCGCUGGUGCCGGACUGCGCGCCAGCCCAAGAGGCGUGGAAGGAUUGCGACCCGCAGGAUUUCCAGGCGGUGCGGGACCUGCGGUCCUCGCGGUGGGAGCUGCUGAUGGAUGUCGUGAGUGGCUGUCCCGUGGAGGUGCUGCAGCGGCACCACGACCGGCUCUGGCACUGGCCACGCCGUCAGCCGGUGCUGCUGCCGGGUGACUUGGCGAACCCGGCCGCUCUGGCUGCGGCAGUCGCCGCCGGCUACGCCGGAGCCGAGGCAGCAGGCGUCCUGGCGGGUGGCCGUGCUGACUUGGAGGCGGUGGUGGAAGCGGACGUCCCGGAGGACGAGGACCAGUCGUGUCCUGCUGAAGACGUCAGGGCCUAUCUGUGCAACCUGUUUAGGGCCGCCGCCUGCAGCCCCACGCCCUGCUGGGCCGCGAAGCUGUCCUUCCUGCUGUCGACGUGGGGCCCGCGGGUGGAGGCGACGCUGAAGGCUGGGCGAUACCUGGAUCUAGGAGAGCUGUUCGAUGCGAUGGCGACCGAGCGGCCCGACUACCUGCAGCGUCUCAAGCACCUUGCCGACAUUGGGGUGGCGUUGGACUCGCAGGCGGCGGAGGCGGCGUUUUCCCGCUGCCGCGUGGAGGCGCUGGUGUGGCUCGUCGACGAGUGCGACGCUCUGCCGGACGAGGUUAUUAUUGAUUACUGCAUCAUCAUGCGCGGUACGGCGACAGAAGCGAGCGACUGCGUUGCGGUGCUGGAGGCGCUUAGGCAGCGAGGGUGGGUCUUUGAGGCAAGGUAUCUUGCACGGUCGCCGAUCUUUGGGUGGCCGGAUGCGGCGCUCUUGUGGCUGGCGGAGGUGGGGGAAGACGCAGACGCGGAGAGCCCAGAGGGUGCCACCGCGCCAACAGCGGGGGAGGUGCGGGCGUGGUGGUCGAGAAUCUUUACGCGCGCGGCUCAGGAGGGCGCCAGCCUGCCUGUACUGCAAGCGCUGCGCGCGCGGGGCGCAGCGGUCGACUUGGCGGCGGUGGCGCAGGCGGGCGGCGAGGCGGCACUGGCGUGGGCGGCGGCACAGCUGCUUGCAGAGGGUGCCGAGGCGGCGGCGGGUGCAGCAGGCAGUGGAGGAGGCGGUGGCAUGACUCUGCAGGUGAGCCAAAAGCGCCUGAGUAUUAGCGGUUGUUUGUGUGGGUGCCGUCUGGGUUGGCAGCACCCAGCAUACGUGCGUGCGUGUGUUGGCUGGGUCUUGAGGCAUUAGCAGGGGCACCCUUCCGGCGCACCUUGUGCCCUCUGCACACGCCCGUACUCAGCCUCCUCCUUUGUCGACUUUCGCUUUGCCCAUGCAGCCCCUGAGCCGUGAUGAGGCGCUGAGGUGCUACCACGGCGGCAAUGUUGCCGCACUGGACUGGCUGCGGUCCCACGGGCUGCUGCCACCGCUCAGCUGCAACUGGUUGCCGACGCUGAGGGAAAUGUUGCACGGCAAGCAAUGCCAGUGCAGCUCCUUCUGGUCCCUGCAGCUGUGGGUGCGGCUGCAGCUGCAGCUGCAAAUGGAUGCAGACCAGCAGGCGGUGGGGGGCCCGCCGCAACAGCCACAACAGUUGCAGCGUCAGCAACCGGCGGCGGCGGCGACGGUGGCGGCCGCGGAUGAAGAUGAGCCGGCCGCGGAGGAGCAUCCGAUGCAGCCACAUGAACUGGCGGUGGCCAACAGCAGUGCAACGGGUGAUGCCGCCGCGUCGCGUGCUGUCAGCCUGUGGUUGGCCGCCAAGGAGAUGGCUGGCCAUGCUGAUCGGGUUCGGCGUAAACGGUACGAGUUGGAAUGCAUGUGGUGCGGUGGCGCCAACAACGUGGAUGUGGGUUUGUACGAGGUCGUGGCUCUAGAACACCAGCACGCCUGGAUGGAGCGGCAAGCGGAGCGGCUUUAAGUUGCUGAAAGCAGGUAUGAGAACCUUUUGGCAGGCUGAUUUUAUGCUGAACGUUGUGACCACUAUCUAACAUAUCACGUUUGAUGGCUCACAUGAGGAUUCAUGACAGCGGCUCAGGCCCUCAGCGUCCUUGCCAGGGGUACUAGCCCCUGGCUGCCCUGGCCUGCGCUCCGUCGGCUUGCAACGUAACCAACUUCUCAGGACCUUCGGUUUUUCCUGGGAAGACGCUUAACUGACAAUGUCUCAAUGUAGAUUGCUACGUCAAAACAAAGCUACGCACCUGUCGCUUGAGGCUUGGGCACGAACGAAGGACUGCGCGCGUGGCGUGUGCGUGUAUUGGUCUGCCGGCAUGGAAGGCGGGGAAGCAUCGAUGGCGGAGCAGUGUACCAAUAAACCGGAUGCGGCUGAUUGGAUGUGUACGUGCAUAUGUUGAAGCAACCAGCUGCCGGUCGCGGAGCUACUUCUGCGUUUAGCGAGUCAGGCCGCGAAAUUCCAGUUUGGCACCAAGUUGCUCAGGUGUCUUCGAUUUAACAAACGUGUUAUACAGCACCAUUAAUAUUUUUGCAUGGGGUUGCGACUCAGCAUACGUUUCACCGGAUUUGUGGCAUCAUGGCACUGCUAGAAAGCAGCUUCAGCUUUAAGCCACUGGCGCCGGAAUAAUGCAAGUUUGAUGUCAUAAAGAACUUGGGCUGCCGCGGCUGGUAGCAGCUUGCACACACGUGAUUAUUGCAAGCAGACUCAUGACCCGGACGUUGGCGUCCGGCGGCACUCGGGGCGUCAGCUGUCGGGCUGCGCUGGCGCUGGUGCUGCUCAGCGGCCUGCUCGGCUCCAGCGUAGCUUCUAGCAGCAAGAAGAAGCGCACGGGCCAGCCUGGGCUGGCUCCCGCAACCCGGGUGGUCCCUGUGGAGGAGCUCCUCGAAUACGGCAGGGUUGAGGGCAGCAGCAGUAGCAGCAGCAGCCGGGAAAGUGGACCAGGUGGCGAGCAACCCCCAAAGCCAGGGGAGCUGUACGGCCUGACAGAUGACGACUUUGUGUACGCAACGGGCACAUGCCGCGAGCGCAUGCUCCUGGCCAAGUCCACGAGGGCGUGGCGGAGAGGUGGGCGGGGCGGGGCGCGUGCUGCGCGGCUACGCACUGAAACCGUGCAUGUUUGCGCGCACAAGGGAAAGGGGAGCGCAGUGCCCUGCAUGUACCUUGUAGGGUAAUGACAAGCGCGCGCGCGCCCAAGCGCUCGAUCCUACCAUAAUACUGCGUGUGCAACUGACUGUGCGACCGACGCAGCUCAGAUGCCAGCUUUCCUACCCAUUGCGCUCAGCACCAAGCGUUUGCCUGCACUAUGUCGCUGCCAGGCCUGCGCGGCUUCUUCCUCACGGACGUAAACGACACCUCCAAGCUCGCCGCGCUGAACGCCGAGGGCGCCGACGGCUACGGCGAGGCGUACGCCUACUUUCCCAACGAUGGGGACCCAGGGCUGGGGGGCCGCCGCCACGGCCGCAUGGGCGGCGACACGCGCGCCGCCGUCGCGCCUUUUGCCGCGUACAGGUGAGUUUGCUGCUGGAGCGCAAGUCGGAGAGCGUAGGGAGGGACAGUGGGUAGCGGGAGGCGCAGCUCGAUGCAUGCGGGUGCGGGCGGAAGGGAAGUGGUUACCGUAUGUGAUUGGGCAUUUGGGGUACGAUCUGGAACAGGCUGACAGGCAGACGCGGUGACGGCCGUGGUGCACCAGUGACUCGUGGCUCCGUAGGUUACAGGCCCGUGCGUGUGUGUGUGUGUGUGUGUGUGUGUGUGUGUGUGUGUGUGUGUGUGUACACGGCACGUGAGCAUCCCGCUCUGACAGCAUCCGGCCGUACCGCUCGCUUGUGCCGCGCCCGUCGCAGACACUACGGUGACACAUUCAAGUGGAUGCUGUACGGAGACGAUGGUACGUGCGACGUCACUGCUUCUUCUGCGUGCCCGGUUGUCCGUGCGCAACGUGGGGGCCGCGCCCCAAUGCCAGUUUGCGGCCGAUGUUAGGCGCCAGCGCUGUGGGCCCCUGUUGGGCGAUGCUUGACUGAGUUGUCAUGCUUGCGCGAUUGCUGACGCGUGGCGCUGCCGCAUGCGGGGCUGUUUACCCGGCGGCUUGCUCUUGCCUCGAACAUGCACACAGACACGCUGUUCUACCUGGACGCGCUGAAGCACAUGUUGUCAGAACACGACCCGCAACUGCCGCUGGCGUUCAGCGACAACCUCUGGUGCGGUGGGGAGGCACAGGCGGGGCAGUGCUGUACGGCGCUCGGUGCAUGGCGUGGCGUGGUGGGGCGUGGCGGGGCGGCGGUUUGCGGCGCACACCCCAGUCGGGGCUUGCUUGUCUAGAUUGGAAAGACAGGCUAACUGGGUUGCUUGUGCACUCUGCGCAAAGCAUGUCACAGGCGCGACACUCAGGCGUGUGCCCACACCGGCGUGUGCCGCACCGGCCGUCCACCGCCGGCCCGUGUGUUGGUGUGGCGUACGUGCGCAGGUACGACGGGCGGCACCCCAACCCGCAUGCGCCGCGCUGCUUGCCGUGCGCCAUGGCCAGUGAGCAGCUGCCGACCCUGGCUGAGGUGCUCAGCACACCUCACAUGCAGGUGCGGGGCAGGGCAGGGCGCGUGGUGAAUGCCCGGAGGGAAACGGCCGGCGAAAGGUUUCCGAGGAAAAGCGGGGAGUGCGGUUUUGGGGAAGUUCGUGACAGCAGCAUAUGACCGGUCAGGCGCUGCAAAAGCCCUCGCUCUCGCAGCAUCCGUGUUCCGGUCUUGCAACUCAGCAGCCUGCCUCGGCUGCGGGUCUCGGACUGCGCGCCACAACCCGCAUGCCGCCGCAGACGCUGAUCCUCAAGGGCUACCACCCUAGCAUUAGUGCCGAGACGGCAAUGGAGAUCGCCCGAAACGCCACACCGGUCAGUAGGAGUCUCACCAGCCGCGGGCUGUGAGAGGGCUUGCUGCUCGAAUGUCUGCUGCUCGGCGGCCACAAGCAACAAGGAACACAGCGCACGGCACUCGCUGUCCUUGAUACGUAACAUUAUUGUCGCAACCCGCAGAGCCCCGGUCGAAAAUUUGUGCCGCGCCCGGCGUGCCCCUACUGCACGCCCAAAGACGCGUGCCCCGAGGUGCCCGACCCCCGGCGGCCCUGCAAGGUGAGUAGAAAGGCAAUGGCGCGCCCUGGCACCUGGCGGCGGGGCUCGUGGGGACGCGCCAAUUGUACCUCUGCCAGCGCAAACCACCACACGGCCACAUGCACCGCGCCUGGCCUCCAGCCUAGCUGUCGCAUGACGCAAUAGCGCCUGAAUUUAAACCUCAUCAUCCGCGUAAGCGCGCGGUAUCACUCACCGCAUGUCAUUGCUGCAGCCCUCUGGCGCUCACGGCGGCGCGGGCAUGGUUUUCAGUGUGGGGUUGUUCAAACACGUGGCCUUCCCGGACUUCAUCAACUGCGUCACCAGCAUGGAAGAGGCGCCUGGGGGAGAUUACCUGGUGCGUGCAAGGGGGGGGGGUUGCAAGGAUGUUUGGAAAAGCGGUACAGGAUGCACUGAAGGGGGGGGGGGGUUGUAAAUACCAGCCCAUAAAUAAAUCAAGGUGGGGCCGUAAUAUGUCCGAAUAUAGCCCAAAGGAUAGGUCCCAGCGUCAAGGAACCGUCGCCCAACUCAGGAAUGCAUGGGAGCCUGGCGGGGAGCUGCGUGGGGCCUUGGCGUGGCGUGGCGUGGCGUGGCCUUGGUGGGGUAGGGAGGGGCGAGGGAGGGCAGGCGGGGGUGACAAGACGGCGUGGGGUGGGAAGCCUGCCUCGCCUAACUCCCUGAUUCUCUUGGUUACUAGUAUGGUCGUCUUGCAAGCCGAGCCAAGCCAAGCUGAGCUGCUUUGAACACCUGCCUCGUGAGCCGUGACCCGCGCACACACACACACACACACACACACACACACAUUUACACAUGCGCACGCACGCACACACACACACACACACACACACACACACACACACAUGCGGGCACACACCAACAUCCCCACACGUGCCUGCAGGUGUCUUACUGCCUGUGGCAGGCCGGCAUCGCCUUCACCGACCCGGGGCCGCUCGUGCGGGCGCGCUACGACCCGCGGUUCUACGUGUUCAGCGGCAAUGCCGUGAUGGGCUACCUUUUUGACCCGAUCGGCAUGCUCACACACGGUGGGUGGCAAAGUGUGGUGGUGUAUGUUGUGUUUUGUCGCGUUGCACUCUGUUGCGGUUGCUGCGUUACCGUAUGUUGUGUUGUGUUGUGUUGUCGCACCAGUUGACAAUGUUGUACCGGCAGAUAAGGCGCACAUGCACCUACGAGAACGAAACUCAUCAACCGUUGUCAUGACUGCUCGCGUAACGCCUUGUCGCCCGCCACCGCCCCCGGCUUGCUUGCUGUACGUCGCACGCGCCCUCACAGGCCGCUGCGAUGCGCUGUGUAGAUGGGGAAUGCGCAACAGUUUGUCGCUGCACGUGAAGGGCCGGCACUAUCGCACCUUCCGGGUAGGUGUAAGGCAUGGGGCGGUAUGGAGCGGGGCGGCGUGAAGCGGGGCAGGGCGGAUUACUCAGUUCCCGAAGAGCAUGCUGGGCCUGAUGCAACGCACAACGUCGUUGUUGCAUUCCCUCCCUUCACGCCUUCUACGACCGGUGCCACUGACGCCGCAGAUCAGCAGCAUGCACAUGUGGGGAGUGGCCUACGCCGCACAGGCUGCACUCGAGUGGCUAAAGCUGACGUCGGCGCCAGACGAUGCCAAUGGUGGGACCGCUGCGAAGCGGCCUUACGGAAUGAUAGAUUUGAUCAGCGAUCAAGGCGCUCCAUCGAGUGGCAAGGCAGCGGGAGAGGGAAGUGGUGGGAAUAGGGAUGAGGAUAGCGGUGAGGUGAGCGACGGAAAGGAGCGCAAGCACGCGAGCCGAGCGCAACGGCGCCGGCGGCGCCAACUGCAACCGACUUGAGUGGGACUUGACGACGUGCCGGGGAGCGGGCGCAUAGAAAGGGAACAGGCGGCGGAGUUGGAGGUGGAGGAGGUGGAUGUCCGGACACUAGGACAGGAAGUGGUCACAGAUUCAGCGCACCUGUGAGAGUGAUGGACCAUACGACGUGGGCGGAGGGGGACAGCAGGCGUGAUGUGCAGCAAUUAUCCGGCCCCUGAGAGCGCUCAGUCCCCAUGCGUAGCGCGCGGCGGGGCCCAUAUGGAGCGAGCCUGGUGAUGACAUGAGCGUACGGGCUGUUGGGUUGCAACGUACAGGUGGUGAUGAGGCAGACUGCGCGAGCGUUUCGCAGCAGGGCCGGAUGUCUGGGAUCAGUGCUUAUGCUGGUGCCUGUCGAUGUGUGCGUGAAGGCGAGCGCUGCUGUAUCAGGUUGGCUGCACGGCGAACGGCGGGGCCCGGGCAGUCCCCACUGGUCAACAGGCCAAGCCGUGUUGUAAUCUUGUUACAUGGCUGAGAGAGCGUCUAAGCUGGUUGAAGCCGACACAGACAAACAGACUUACGCCCCAUGUUGCUGUACUAUAUCUUGACCCUGCAUGUGGGCUCCCAGUCAACGGCGCAGACCCUGCAGCCAUGGUUCGGCUCACAACCGACGCCCGGCAUGCACACGUUCUGGCGCACACGUUCAAUGCCGCCGCGUUCUCGACUCAUCAUCAGGCGGAUGUGUGCACGCACAGAGAGUUCAGAGGUUUGUCCGGCGCCAGCCACGGGCGCCAGCAGACAACACCAAAUGUCCUCCACAUGCCACAGCCCCCUGGCCCUACUGCCACACGCGCCUUGAUAGCCCACUAGCCUCUGAUGCCUCCCCCCGUCAUGUCGCUUCGCCGCUGAUACCUUGUUCAAGCCUCGAUGCCUUGCUCGAUCCCCGCACAACGCAUCCGCUUCGUUGACCAUCGUUCACGCCGCCACCACUGGCCACACCCCGAGUUUGUCCUCCACCAACCACCAGACCUAGCUAGCGUCCGUCGGCACGUCCCUGUGGCUGCACCCCGACAGCUAUACGUACAAGUAGCAGCUUGGAUAAUUAUGCAUUGCCGCCCACGUGGUCUGGGGAAGCCCUUGUGACAUCCGUUGACAAAAGUAAAUUGAGCACUCGUCAACACGUGCACGCGGCACGGUUCCGCUAGUGCAUCCCACACCCACACAUCUCAUAGUCACGCCCCCAAUGCAUCCGACGCCCUGACAUUGAUGGCCCAUCCCCACCGCAGGACCCACCGGUGUGCACCAUUCCCAGCAAGUCUUGCUUGACAUCAUGCGUUACCCAGGAAAUGAGCGCAGCCGUUUCAAUGUACUUACGUAAUACCGCCUGCUACACAGGUGCUGCGACCAGCGCCUGCCUGCCUGCUCAUGCAAUGGCAAGCGGCCAUGGGCGUUCCUUCCCAGUCCUCACCUGCCAGUACGUCUUGCACUCGACACGCACCAGACCCUAACGCGGCAGCAUCUGGCCCACGCAUAUGCCGCGGCUCAACGGGCACAGCGCGGCUCAAGAAAGCAGAACGUACCGCCCCAUGCUGCUGACUUGCCAGACCACACGCGCACCAAGAAGCGAGCAGUCAUCCGUGAAACCGCACACUGCCCUCCAGCAGGCGCGGCCCACUGAGCCCAUGGCUGUGCGGUGCAUGCAGGCCGUAGCCCCGCCGCCGGAUGCACAUGCAAAACACUGAUCUGGGUGAAGUGGCAAGUCGUCCCAGCCCGGGCCAUCAACACACACCCAAAUACUGUGGUUGAAACAAUCUUCCUCUCACUGACUGGUGGACAUAAAGACCAACCCAACCCUGAUGGUCACGCCUGAUGGUUCUAUCGCCUGCUUCGUGAUAAAUUAGCGUUCCGCUACCGUAUGAACAAACCGCCGCCGGCCCGAGCACAGGAACACGCGGCAUCUAUGGGUUCUAACCAUGAACGAGGGCAUGCAUGCGUCAGUGGCCAUAACCACGUAUGCACAACGUGCCUAUUCUGUAAGGUAGUAAGAUAUUUAUCUUCGCGCCCAACGACUGGGCGGGGCCUUGGGCGGGGCUGCUGCUAACUCCUCCGCCCAAGCUACUAACGGCACGUCGGAAAAGCGAGCGCAAUUAGCGCCCAUCCAUCCACGCUGCCGCAUUCACGGUAUUGCAUUGCACAGCCAUGAAUGCACGAUGAAGCCGAAUCAGCCACAACCCAAUUGGCCACAUCGGCUGCAAGCCCGCAUUUCUGCCUUUCCCCACACAGCGUGUACACAAGGAGAGCUUGGCAAGCUUGGUUUCAGCAUCAUCAACACCGUACGGCAGACACAGGUGCCGUACAUCCGCUACCUCAGUAAGCAAUAACCCACCACGCCUGCUGCUAUUAUUUACCACGAGCCAUAACGCCCUCGUAACGUCAAGCAUCUGCUUCCAGCAGCCUAUGGGCACGGAUAAAUGCGUCCGCGCGCAACAGGGUGGGGGAACAAGUACGCUAGGAGCGUCUUGUCGCCGCUAAGUGGCAUCACACGCUCGGCCGUUCAUCAUCGACUAGGAGAAAGGUGUGCGAAGAGCUGCGGGGACGCAUCUGUCCACGCGUGACCAACACCGCGUGUGAACCAUCCAUACACACAGUGUCGGAGGCAUUCAUAACAAAUUUGCAUCCGUGCCUCACACCAGCGAAGCGAGUAAGGUUGCACACGCGCCAGCAAUGCUGAACCUCACCGGUCUCUGGGCCCUCAGUGCAUCAACGCACGCCUCUGCUGCGAUGCAGCACUGUCUUUGCAGCUGUGCAUUGCUGGGCAGCCCGGCCGCUUUCCCUCCGGGCUUACCCCCAGCUUGGCGGCCUUGCUCCCACCGGCUGCUGCAUUCGCUGGUUCGCAUUCGUUGAGACCGCAGUGCAGCGUAUCAGCCAUCUGCCUACGUAUAAACCUCAGCACUUUUGGCCGGUGCCGCCGCAACCGCCCAUGCCGCUGCCUGCUCCGCAGCUUCCAAGAUCCAACUGCCCCGCAUCGCGAAUGAGAUCCGCCGCCCAUCCCUCGAAGGAUCCCGCCGCCGCCGCCGCGGCGCCGCCGGCGCCUUGAAAACCACUGCCGCUGUCCUCGUGUCGCGCGAGCUGACUGCCCGACUCAAACGCCACGCUUACAAGCCCCGAAUCGAUCCCUGACUUGAGCCGCUUUAGCGGGCUCUCACAUACGGUGGCUCCAGCCUCUGCUGCCGCCGCUGUUGCCAUGCAAGCAAGCUGCUGAUGCUGUAGCGGCAGGUGCGGCUGACUGAUUCGCAUCAUCAACGGAGCCAUGCGCUUCAGCGGACUCAUCGGGCUGCUGACGGCACCGCUGCCGAAGGUGCCGCCGCCGGCAGUGGCCGCCAAAAGCGGCGCCGGCACCAGCGCUGCUGCCGUGUAUGCGAUGCCGCCGCCGCCGGCGGCUGUACCAGGGGCGCUGGUGACGGCGGCGGCGGCGGCGGUAUGGGAGCGGUGCACGGCAAGCCGCUGCAGCUGCGCACACCUCAGCGCGACCAGGUCAGUCACAAGGCCGCCGCCACGGCUGCCGCCGCUGCUACUGCUGCCCCUGCCAGCGCUGCUACUGCCGUCGCCAGCGAGCCUGCCGCUUCCGUCACUGAUGACGGCGCCAAGACCAGGCACGCUCGCCAAACCGCCUCCGCUGGUACCUGCGCCCAUGCCUGCGCCCAUGCCCCCAAGCAGCAGCUUGCUGCUCACACCGCCGCUGACGAGCCCGUCGGCCGCCGACGCUAGUGACGUCGUCUGCCCCACAAAAGUGGGCAAGCUGGCGCUCAGCGUUCUACCAGCGCCGGGCCGCAUCGGUACGGGGCUGGGCCCCUGCUGAUCAGAAGCAAUGGAGGCGGCGGCGGCGGCGGCCGUUGAGUCAAUGCCACUGCUGCCGGGGCGGCGAUGCUGGCACGGCAGGCCGCCGUGGGCGCUGUUUGGGGUGCUGUUGUUUGUUGCGGCGGCAUUGGUGGUCGAGGCGGUGGGCCACGGCUCCGAGUGCAGCAGCACUGUGCGGCGGGAAGAAAGGCGGUUGCGGGUAGGCCAUUGCUGGCGUGGGUCAAGUAGAGGUAGCUAGGCGCACAGCAGGCGUGCGGUGUGCACGUGCAUGCAAGACAGCGUCAAGUUCAAUCCCCACAUCUAGGCAACAUACCGGUGUCGAUGACUUAUUAAGAGCGAGCAUGGCGAUGCACAACUCUAUGUGCAACUGCAUACCAAUCAUCAAUAUGGUAAAAUAUGAUGCUUACUUUGCCAGAGCUCCUCCAGCACUCUGUCCUCGAGGCUCUGCGGCGCCACAGGCCCAUCCGUCACAGGCGCCAGAGACGUGCCGCCGCCGGCGCCACCCAGCAGCAGCGCACGCACACUCGCGCCGCCGCCGCCGAUGCCCUGAGCAGCAACGUGAGCGCUACUGCCGCCUCCGCCGCCACUACUGGCGGGACCAAAGCCGCUGCCGUUGCAGAUGCUGUUGCUGGCCAGGCAGCAGCCAAAUCCCUGGCGCGCGUUGACCCCACUGGCACUGGCAGUAGCAGUAGCAGCAGUAGCAGCAGUAGCAGUAGCAGCAGUAGCAGCAGUAGCAGCAGUAGCAGCAGUAGCAGUAGCAGCAGUAGCAGCAGUAGCAGUAGCAGCAGUAGCAGCAGUGGCAGGGCCAGCAGCGUUGCUGUGGAAGCUGUAGUCGCAGGUGCCGCUGUCGUCACGGCGGAGGACGCCGGCGGCGGGCAGCGGGUACGCGGCCGCUGGGCGGGGUGCUGCUGGGGUGUGCAGCAGCAGGCCUUGCACGCCGUCGCCCUGGCCGAGCUGCUGCUGAACCCCCUGCGGCGGCGGCGGUGCGGCGGCAGCGCCACCAAGUAGUGACGGUGUAAUGCCCACAGCUGCCACGUUGGCUCCAGCAAUAGCGGCGGCGGCGGCGGCGGUGGCGGUGGCUAAGAUAGGGGAGCCGCUGCGGCUCUCGGUGGGGGGCAGCAUCACCGCCGCCGCCGCCGCCGCCGAGGUGCUUCUGGCCAACAUGCCGCACACACUGAGCACCUCAAAUGGCUUGUCGGCGGCGCUUGUUGCCGCCGCCGCCAUCACCGCCGCCGGCGGCAGCCGCCCAUCGCCGCCGCCGGCCGCAGCCCAGAAGCCGCCACCACUGCCGCCAGCGGCGGGGCCAGCAGCGCUGGCGGCGUCACCGCAGAAGACGAAGUCCCCGUGCCAUCCGCAGCUGAUGUGCACAAGGGCGGCGGGCGCGGCGGCGGCGCCGCCAAGUGAUGGCGGCCCGCUGCCGACGGCCACGGCCGCCGCCGCAGUGCUGCUGAGGCGCCUGCUGCGUCCGAAGGAGGACUGUGAAGACUGUGAUCGCACGCAGCCGCCGCCGGCUUGGCUGGGGACGGCACUGCUGAUGCCGCUUGGCGAGGGGUGUGCGGCGGCGGCAACGCCCGAAUCCACCCGCCGCAUAGGCAGCAUGGCCGUUGCCGCAGCUGCCGGGAUCAGGCCAGGGAGCUGCAGCUGUUGCAGCUGCGGCGGCGACGGCAGCUGUGGCGGCGGUGGAACUUGCUGCUGCACUAUGUGAACCUCCACCCCUUGCUGCUGCUGCUGCUGCGCCCGCGCCCGCUCCUGCUCCAAUAGCAACUCCCGCACAAGCACCGGGUGGUGAGGGUGAGCAACGACCGGCGCCGCCGCCACUGCCGCGGCCACCGCGGCCACUCCCAGCGCUCCCACACCGCCACCGCCAAUGGCAACUGAACCGCCGGCGGCGCUGCCCGCCGCCGCUGGCGCCACUGGCGGGACCGGCGGCAGGGGCCCGCCGGCUAUGGAGCCGCCGAGACCCAUAGGCAUGAAUGCGGAGUGCAGCAGGUGGGUACGGGAGGCCGCCGCGGCCGCUGGCGGCUUCGCAAGAUGCGCCACAGUCGGGUCCGGAGCCGCACCAAGCGUGGAGGGUGGGGCAGCAGCAGGCAUCAGCGCUGCGCCGCCUACGAUGCCUGGCUGCUGCGGCUGCUGCGGUUGCGGCAGCUGCGGCUGUUGCAUCAGAAUGGCGAUGGGUGGCAGCGGUGUCCUGCCUUCCAACACGCUGCGUGGCGGCGUGCCUGGCGGCGGCGGCAUGCGCGCAACGUGCACUUGCGCCAGUGGGAGCAGGACCUGUGACGUUUGUUUCUUGUGGUCUGAGUGGUACUUGAGUGUGUGCACGCCCGACGCGGCAUCAAAGCCCACCACAGUCGCCGCUCGCCACGCGCCCGCGGGCGGAGGCUGCUCCGCCAGCUGCCCGCGCUGGCUGGGCGGUGGCGGCACCGUGGGGGCGGGGCCAUCGCUGUCAAUGUCCCACCUGCACCGGCAAGCAGGUUCAUGAGCACCAAGUAAGCAGCAGACAGCAAUACUGAAGGUGGAAGGUGCCUUGGCGGGAGGGAGUCGUGGCCCGGGACGACGCAGCGGCCUGGGUACAUUCUGUUGGUUUAGGAAAUCCAGGGGCGGGCAAAUGAGCAAGGCCGGCAUGUAUGGAUGCCUUGGAUGGUACCUACCAGAAGAUGCUGAGCUGCUUGCGAACCAGGGCCGCGCCCCCCAUGUGCUGGGCGGCGGCACACAGCCAGGCGGCCAGCGGGACCUGCAUGCGCCCACAAAGGUGCUUCAUACGUCUUGAUGUGCCUGCUUUGCAUUGUUUUGUAUGUUCGUGUUCUGCCUAGUGCCUGCCUAGAUGGAUGUGGAUCACCCCCUGAGCCCUGCGUUAUUCUGGCCAGGAGCCUGUGACCCUGCGUGAGUGAGGUCACUGGCACGGGUCACUGGCGACUGGCGUGGUCCAGAGUUGGUGCGUUACUUCCGGUGGACUCCAGAGCAGGUGUGCGCUCUGGCCUCUGGGCAGGAGGUGUGCGUGCGUGGUGGCACGAGCCUCCUCACCUCCUGUAACCGGGCCUCCAAACGACACCUGAGCGGCUGACCGCCUCCAACCCCGCGUAUUGCUAGUGGGUGUGUGAGUGUCCAAUGCCGGUACGAGAGCCCUGAGUGCGGGCGGGGCGCCCACGUGCGCCACGCACCCGUACCCCUCCGUAACCGGACGCAUCGACACACUUGUCGCGCCCCGGCUAGCUUUCCCUUUGCAGUACACACCUCUUUGCCCUCCUGGCGAAUCGCCAAUAAGGCGUCCUUUCCAAGCCCAUUAUGCGUGGACAUCCAGGUCGAAAGGCUGGAAAUGCGACCGCCCUCAGAAGAAAGCUGCAUCGGCAGCUCCCCGCAGCGCGAACAGCCGCACGCGACCAUGAUGCCGGCAGUUGAUGCGACAGCUCCACCUAGUAGGCGACAUCGGUGCUCGCCUGAAGGCGAAUUAAGGGUCGAAAGGGCGGUUGCGAUGGUCAGAAAUGUGACCGUGACUUGCCUGCACGUGCGCUGUGCCGGCAGGUCCGCAGGCUCUCAGGCCGACGGUUCUCCCACCUAAUACGAGUUCAACAUCAGCUGCCGGCAAGUGCGAGGCGCCCCUGAGCAAAGAGUCGACCGCAGCUUCGCUGCUGUUUGCCCCCAUUGUGCGCGCCCAGCCGGAAGAUAGAGCGGGCAAGUUGCCCGUCCAGAACUCGUGCAUAACACUAGAUCGAUAGAUUCUGUCAAUGCGUUGCUCGGACGAAGUGACUUAUGACACUACUGAAGCGACCAUUUACUCUCUAGACAAAACCACGCUUCUGUACUUAGUCAUUUGUUAGCGCCGAGUAAUGCGCGAGCUUUGUGGUGGGCAACGAGAGCAACUGCAUUCCCGGGGUUUCGUCCACUGGUCCCAUGCGCAUCCACCAAUUUGCAAAUGGUUGCAUUGGUGCGCUUGCAUUAAACUUGUGACGUCUGUAAUGUGGCUAGGCGUGACAGUCGGCCGGGCGCUUGCGUCUGUCCUAGAUGUAUCUGCGCCGAAAGCGGCGAUUGAAGCCGUAACAUGAUACAUCCACAAGGAACAAUCAAGUGGCUCAGCAGUUCAAGCCAGUGAGUAAUGUUUAUGUUUAUGAAACCCUGCUGCCGCACACCAGGGUUUUCCUUCGUGAGCACGUGCGUCUUCGUCCGCCGGGCGCUUUUCGCCUGGCCUGCCCGCGCUGCCGCACGGCCCGCGCUCUGCGCCACGGGAGCGCCUCCCUUGGCGCCGUCCCUCCUCUGCGCCUCGCGGAGUGCCUCAUCGCAAAGUCUAUGCGCCCAAAUAAAAGUGACUGGCUCAGCACUAGGCAUUAGAUACGACCGCUGCAAUUGACGAUCGGCCGCGUCAGGAAAAUUGGUAGUAUAUUAUGUGAUGGACCAUGUGAAGUGGACAGGAAAUGAAGAUUCCGAACCUUUCCGAAGCUGCACGCCCCGCCCGCCCGCUCUGCCGCCGGCACGCCCGCGCACCCUUGCGCGCACCCGGAGGGCAGCCCGCCGUUCGCUGCCAGACACUUCCCCUUCAUCAUAAGUCCGUGCCCCAGAAAAGAACGACUUGGCUGACGCGAUAGCUUGGGCUCUUUAUAUCGGGACCUCCCCCGUGUGGCUGUGUCAGACCGUCCCCGCCGCAAUCCUAGGCCCAGGUGUGUGUCGCAUCGCAAUCAUCUGCGAGGGGUACAGUCAACCUCCGUGUUGCCAGGCAAAGCGUUGCCGCGUAUAGGCGUAGCUUUUGCAUAUGAAGAAGCGUGAUGUAGACGUUUGCACUGCGCGUGGAAGCCUGGACAAAAGGGAGGGGGGUCGCCGCGAGUGAUCCGGCAUGCACAUGUGCGAAACCCCGCACAAUGUAGUUCGGGCGCCGGUGAUAGCAUUGUUACUGCUAUGCGCUCAUAUAGCUCUGAACGUUGAUAGCCGAAGCGUAUGCAAGAAACUAGCGCGCUCACUCAUUCCCAGUUUGCGUUUCUUGUGUUAGCCGCUGGGUGGCAAGCUCAGAAACAUGUUUAUACAUAAGCCAUAGCACGUGGCGAUGCCACUGAGCGCUACUCUCGCUUGGGCCGUCUUGCACUCAGAAAUGCGCCGAGCAGGAACCGUUCUGCUUCUAGUUAUGGUGGCCCAUAGUGCAUCAUUAUGGAUACAAGCAAGCGCGCAGACAAUCAGCAGCCUCAACGCGACACAGCAGGCGUGCAUAAAUGUUGCUGCCGAGGACGUGCUGGCCAGGUGCCUAAAUGACGCGAUAGUGGACAUUCCAUGGAACUGCUCUUGCUCGCCACGCUGGACUCCGGUCUCACAGCGCAUUCGUUUUUGCAUGUCUUUGCCUGCAGCUGCGCCUACAACACGUCUGGCAGCAGAGAGCAGGCAUUCGCCAAGGUUGUGUCACGCUCAUACGCGUUGUGCGUGGAGGGGAACGGGACCUCUGGUGCUAGCGGCACGGACCAGGUGAGGGGCGACAGAGGUUUGCGAGGUGCGCAUGUGCGGGUGUACACAGCUUGCAGGCUUGCAGGUGACAGCAGGCUGGGGAGUAGUGCUUGCGUCGUGCCGGUACUGUGCGUUCAGGAACAACGUGGAGCUUUAUCUGCCAGGGUCUGAGAGGGUCUGAGGGCACGGUCCGAGGGGGAGCGGGAUGAAGAGCAGCCGGGCGCGAGGCCGCCCGCUGCUCUCCCACACCUCAUCUUUCACUUGCGCCUUUCCAGGCUCAGCCUUCCUUUCCCCUCCCUCCCCCCCUCCCUCCCUCCCUGGCUGCUCCCUUUCUCGCCUUCCCCUGCCGCACCCCCGCAGCAGCUGCAGGUGAUGGUGCCUACGCGCCUCUUCCCAGCCUACAGCCGCCUGGCGAGGAGCUACUCGCUGGUGAGGGCGGGGGCGGGAUGGGGGGGGGGGGCUGUAAAUACCAGCCCAAACUAAACCAAACCAACUGAAACAAGCGGAACACAGGCAGAGGCGUAGGUUGCAAGUAAUAAUACUUAUGGGAUGCGGGCCGAGGCGUCGAGGAGCAGCAGGGCAAGCGGCGCCGGCGAUAAAGGGGGGGGGGGGUAAGUCUGCCCGAGCCCAACAGCGUGUGUACAUGUUGCGUGUGCGUGUGUUAACGGGAAACGGGACAAGUGCGCGGCCGCCCAUGCGUCGGGUUUGUGUGUGCUGGAAGAGCACAAGAGGAGAGGGGUGUACGUGGGUACAGGCGCGCGUGCUUGCAUGUGCGUGGGUGGAUGCGGAUGCGUGCAUGUGCACGUGCACGUGCAAGAGUUUGAUGCAAGAGUCUGCGAUGGUCAGGCGGGCGGUGGCAGGGAGGCGCUCAAAGGCACCGGUAACCGGUGGGCGCACCACGGCACCGGUACUACUGGGUACUGGGAGCGGCGUGGGAUGGGGCUGCAUGCAUGCAGUGAGAGGGGCUGCACAGUACCGCGGUUGCGCAGGAGCGUGACCACUGCAGUCGCAUGACAAGGGCCUGCGAGAGCUGUGCGGUGGGCGGGCGGACGGGCGGGCCGGGGGAGGUAUAGCCUGGCGAACCAAGCCCUGCACACGCAUGUACGAUACGGACUCACAGCCUCCUGUGUUUGGCAAUGCCGUCCGCCCGCCGCGCCCCGCCUGUGCUGACCCCCUGUGCGCCGACACGUUUAGCAUGUACUGUACUGAGUAUUAAGCCCCCGUAUUCAUGGACGGCGACCUCGACACACACAUGCACACACCGUUUGUGCUUAUCUUUCCUUGUUCGCUCUAACAAACAAAUACUCACACAUACGCAUACACAUACACACACCGCCCCGCCAGGCCUCCUCCCGCUCCGUGGCGGUGAUCCCGGUGGAUGAGGACCAGCUGUUGCAGGAGGCGCUUUUUGAGUUUUCAAACAAACUCAACACCAUGCACGACGCCUGGAUCCUGCAGGUGAGCGCGUGUGAGAUGUACUGGGGUGGGGUUGUAGAUUCCAGCCCAAACUAAACCGAACCCAAUGCAGUUGAGAGGGGGCUGGGGACGUUGGGUGUUGUGCUCUGUGAGUCUGUUGGGAUCGAGUGCUGCGGAGCUCGCUGAAGGUGUAGGUGGAGGGGGGACCGGCAGCGAGUCAUGUGGUGUGUAUGCACACACACGCGUGUGCGCCCCGGAGCCCCCUCACAUGUGUGAGGCGGCUACACAGCUCUCACCAUCCACCCCCUGUUCGGCCCCCCGCCGCCAUCCCCCUGCACCGUCCUCACAGCUGGACAGCUACUGGCAGCUCGAGGCCCUGGGCGGGGUCCUGGACCUCACCAACUUCACUGCCACCAUCACCACCACCGCCGCCGCCGUCGCAGCCUCCUCCGGAGCAUCCGGCAGCACCCAUAACAGCGCCGGCGGCAGUGCCGGCGCCGCCACGGUGUGGGGCGACUGGUCGGAGGUGCCUCCGGCCUUUCGGCGCCUGUCGUACUCGUACGACACAGCCAACAGCGCGCCCGGGGCGCCGGCGACACCUACACAGGUGCGUGGCCGGGCCCCAGGGAUCCAAAACGCGCUGCCGGCAUGUGCUGCUCCUCAUAGCCCUGUCUUGCGCCUGCGGCAUGCAACUUGCUCGCGCACGCUUCUUGCGCACGUGCCGAGUGUGUUGGUGUUGGCCCUCGUUCCUUGUGCUGUUUAACACACGCGCGCGCGCGCGCACGCACGCACACACACACACACACACACACACACACACACACACACACACACGGCACACACGCCCCGCACGUGUUCCCCCGCAGAUGUCGGUGCCGCUGGACGGCUCCGCGCCGAUGAUGCUGUACCGCACCGACCUCUUCGCGGCGGCGGGUCUGAGCCGCCCGCCCGCCACCUGGGCCGAGGUGCUCACGGCGGCGGCGGCACUCAACGGCACAGACAUGGACGGAGACGGCGAGGAGGACUUUGCGCUGUGCUUCCGACCCGACCCGGGUGAGGCGAGGGAUCGGAAGGGGCCCAUUCCCCCGCUUGCGCUGCGCCGUUUCAUUGCAGUGCUCAUCCUGCCAGAACCCCCAACGGCCAACCCAACGCAGUUAUCCAUUCCGUGCCCCCAGCCCAAACCUGCUGUGUUUCUCGCUGCCCCUUGAUCCCACUGCUCUUGAUUACGCAACCCAUCCCAAGCCAACCUCCCUCUCCCCCCUCUCCACACUUCGUCUGAAGUCUUCAGUGCAUCUUGUAUCGCUUUCCCAACCCCCUUCACUUCAUAUUUGAUACACACCAUCCCAUGGAUGGCUACCCCCCUCUUACCCCCUUUAGUUUGGGCUGGUACUUACACCCCCCCCAUCUCCCCUCUUCCCCCCUCAGACUGCUCGUACACCAGCGCCCUGGGCAUGGUACUGCUGCCGUACCUGCAGUACAACGGCACCGCCACCGGCGGCCUGCUGGCGCCCGAGGACCUGCAGCCGCUGCUGGACACGCCGGGGGCGGCGGCGGCACUGGCCGUGUUCAAGUCCCUGCUGGCCUUCCACAUCCCGCUGGAUCUUCAGGUGGGCGGUCGCGUGCGCCAGCCUGUUUCUGCCUGCCUGGUCAUAGGGCACACCCCUCGCACACCCCUCGCACACCCCUAGCACACCCCUGGGCACACCCCUAGCACACCCCGGGUACACCCCUAGCACACCCCUAGCACACCCCUGGCACACCCCUAGCAACCCCCUAGCACACCCCUAGCACACCCCUAGCAACCCCCUGGGCACACUUCCUGAACUAGUCAUGAUUGUAACCCUAACACGCCCCCCUCACGCGUGCAGGGCAUCGAGUGCGCUGCCGGUGACGUGGCGCUGGCCUUCGCGGAGGGCGAGUGUGCCAUGGCGUUUGGGUGGGGGGAGCUGUUCAAGGUGCGUAGGGGCGGGGGACAAGGGGUGUGUGUCAUGUGUGUGUCUGUGUGUGUGCGUAUGCGGGCCCGGGACUGGCGAUUGGCUCACACCUUACCUGUGUCACCUCACAGCACCGGUCCCGCAUAAUGACUUGUGCCUCUGGACAUCGCCAGUUCCAUGUUUUAAUACAAACCGUUCGCAUCAAUGGCGACCCCUGUGAUAAACGACGUCACGAACGGCACGUGUACCUCCCUGUGCUACCCUGCCUCCCAUCCGUGUACAAAACAGCUGAGUGAGAUCAGCAGCUCGGCCCCGGCCUUCGGCGGUCCGGCUGACAACAGCUCCGCCGCCUCCGCCCUAGGGCAGCGCACCGCCAAGGGCCGCUACGCCAUGACGCCGCUGCCCGGCUCCACACAGGUCCGCCGGCGGGCGGCUUUAGCCGCUUGGACUUGUUUCGCUGCCAUGCCGUCACAGUCAAGUUUAGCUUGUUGAAUGUAUGUAGUUACAUGAUAUUUACAUGAUAUUUACUUGACUGUGACGGAAUACGCUGGUCAGAUCUGUCGUCUGUGCGCGGUUCCCGCUUGCCCGCUGAUCCUUGGGUUUGGCUGUGCGGUGUGCGGCGUGCGGUGUGCGGCGCGGGGGUUUGCAGGUGUACGACAGGCAGCGGCGGGAGCUGGUGGAGUGUGGCAGUGCGGCGCAGUGCCCCUACGGAGCGGGCGGACUGCCGGAGACCGUCACGACUGCGGUGAGCGGUGUGUGUGUGUGUGUGUGUGUGUGUGUGUGUGUGUGUGUGUGUGUGUGUGUGUGUGUGUGUGUGUGUGUGUGUGUGUAGGGGGGGGUUUAAGCCGUUCGUGGAGAUUGGGGCGCUGAGUCUGGGCCUGGGGCCGAAGCCGGUGCGGCCUCUGGCUACGCGGGAGGAGAAGGUUUUGGAGGCGCGAACAGAGCAACAGCAGCAUGCCAGAAACAUAAACAGUCCCAAACACAACGGGGCAGCCGCGCGCAGCGGGAUGGGUUCAUCGGCGGUUCAAACCCACCUGCCCCUGGAAUCAUAAACCAUGGAAAUGUCGCAGCCGCUCGCACCAUCCGCGUCGCACCAACAACAAGCCCCAUAACCCAUCCCCCCGUCUACCACUUCCUUAACUUGUUAUGAAUGUACCCCCCCCCCAUGACCCGCCCCCACCCCCGACAGGACGGCCGCACGCUGUACGUCAACCGCGCGCCCUACCUGCCGUACACCGGGGUGGUUGGGCUGGUGGCGGCGGCUGUGGAUCCGGAGCGGCAGCGCCGGGCGUUUGACUUCCUCACCUACCUGUCGGCGGCCAACCUGAACCUGUCCCUGGCCAGCGACAGUGAGUGUGACCGCGUGCUGUAGCAAUGGGGGAUUGCAAGGUUUAAGCGCUGGGAACAGGAUACAAGGGGAUGGGGGCUUGUGAUUACCAGUGCACAUUAAACCGAACCCAAUGCGAAGGAGCGAGGAGGAGGCGGGCGCGGGGCAGGUGUCCCCGCAAGACUGAGUGGUUGGGAGGGGGACUAGCAAGGGGAGGGGACGAGCAGUGGAGUGGUGUUGGGGUUGGUGCGGUGGGCUGGCGGAAUGGGUGCCAGGUGGCAGCGCGGCAGCCAAUGGUGCGAGAGCCCCCCCCAUCAACGCGGUCUGCAGGCGCUGGCUACUGGUGUGCAGCGGCGUUUCCCUUUGCGGCAGGCGGGCGGACGCAGCGCGCAAUGUCCCGUUCCCCACACCUCCUUCCCGCCCAAUGUGCUCCUCCUCACCUCCCCACUCCUGUCCUGCCCCCUUCCUUAACUAAUCAUGAAUGUAAUCCCCCUUGCCCCCCCUCCUCCCUUGCCGGCCCAGAUCCCAUCGUGCCCUUCCGCACCAACGCCCUCACAACCGCCCGCAUCCCCGACUUUGUCGCCGCCGGCUUUGACGAGGCCGCCGUCCGCUCCUACAUGUCGGUCGUGAACGCCACCGUGAACCAUCCCAACCUGGCCCCCGGCCCCAUCAUCCCGCGCGGCGACAUGCUGAGGGCCCUGAUGGGCGUGGCGGCCGCGAACCUGUCGGCGGGCAUGGAGGCGGCGGAGGUGGCGGCGGGGCUGCAGGCGCAGGUGCGGGGGGUGCGGGGGGCGCGGGGUCGGCUGGGAGGCGGUUGGGAGGCGGCUGGGAGGCGGGGGGAGGGCAAGGGGCAACACGCACGGGCAGCCGUGUGAGCCGUAGAUCAAGAUGUGUGCAUUCACAGAGACACACAAGUACACACGCGCGUGUGGACACUAAUCCCCCCUCGAGGUUAGAGUAGCGGGGGUUGCGCGAUUUCCGGUUGGUAAGACCGGCGGCUCACCGCAGCAGGUAUACGAGGUAACUUCAGGUAACAUCCGUAAACCGUCGCUUUGCUGCAUCGCAUACACUGUCUUUGCGCAACGUUUUCCUUGUGCUCUUUAACACAAGUACACACGCGCGUACGUACACACACGCGUACACACCCACGCACACAACCACACACACACACACACGUACAACCACGUGCACAGGUGGUGGACCAGGUGUUGGACUACCAGCCCGCCUGGACCUGGCGCCUGGGGCUCAAGACCGCCUACUGGGCGUUCACCGGGUACACCCCCCCGCCGGCGGUGAGGGCGUGGGGGAUUGCGUCGAUAGUGGCUGAGGGACAGGCUGGCUGGCUGCCUGGCAGGCUGGCAGAGCGCCUGCGUGCCCAGGGGAGGACCCUCCCCUGUGCGUGCCUGUCAGGGUUUUGUUGCGGGCUAAGGGUUUACCCAUGCAACGCUGUCAGGAAUGGUGGUAGCCUGCCCUCCCGAACCGACCGUUCGCGAUGGGUUCUGUGACUCACGCCAAACACACACACACACACACACACACACACACACACACACGCACACACGCACACACGCACACACACACACACGCACACACACACACACACACACACACGCACACACACACGCGCGCCGCUGCAGCUCUGACGCCCCCCCCCGCCUUCGUUCCUUCCUUCCUUCCUCCCCUCGCAGAACGGCACCGCCGACGGCGCCGCCGACAGCACCCAGAUGCCGGCCGUGUCGCUGGCGGUGCCGGUGGCCUCGGCGGUGGUGGUGCUGCUGCUGUCCACCCUGUACGAGUUCAAGAAGCACCGGCAGCACCGCAGCCUGUUCGGCAAGGUGGUGGCGCCGGGGCCGUUCGAGGACACCACACUGCUGGUCACGGACAUACAGGUGGGGGCGCGCGUGUGUGUAUGGGGGGGGGGCGUGUGUGGGGGGAGGGGGGCGCGUGUCAGCGCGUUGGAGGUAGGGGUGUGUGUGUGUGUUCAGCUAGCAGAAAGGAGGAAAGACGCAGGAUCGUGUAUGCAAUACGGUACGAUGCUCGCGGUAUUGCGGUAGGUAGGUAGGUGUGUGUGGGGGGGGCGUGUGUGAGUGUAUGUGUGUGUGUGUGUGUGUGUGUGUGUGACUGGGUGCGCUAAGGGCGACGUAUCGCAAGCGCGCCGGCCGACACGUGUGUCCGGCACGCGUUCAUGGGGGAGGGCUGGGCGUCCACCCACGACUGCACCCUUCCGAGUGUGCUCCAGUGCUCCUCCGCCUCGCACUCUCUCCCUCCCCCGGUAUUAAUUGCUGUUCCCCCAAGAUUGCCUACCAUCUACCAUUUUCCUUGUCUAAUCUGAACGGCUAUCCCCCACCCCAUCAUGAAGUAACCCCGCUGCUCCGCCCGCCCGCAGGAUUCCACUGCCUUGUGGGAGAUGCUCCCCUCCACAGUCAUGGACCGAGCCAUAAAGGAACACCACGCGGUGGGGAGAGGGGAGGGGCGGGGGCAGGGGGAGGAAAGAAAGGGGGGAGGAAAGGGGCAGGGGGUUAAUGUGCCCGAGCCCGUUAGGUCCCAAGAGUCGCGGGAGGAGGAAGGAGGAGCAGGGAGUGGAAGAGCGGCUCCAAAUGUGGUGUGGGCUGCUGGUGGUGUUUGGGCAAGCGGGUCGGGCCGGCCAUGCUUGCGGUGCUUGAGGGCGCUCGGGACACAAGUUGCUGCCAACUAAGCCAGCGCCUCCCUCGCCUGCUGCUGCUGCUGUUGCUGCUGCUGUUGUGCAUGCACCUCGCCUGCUGCAGUGCCUGCGCAAGCUGCUGCUCAAACACAGCGGCUAUGAGAGCGCCACCGAGGUGCGUGCGCGCCCCCACGGGUCUGGCCAGGCGCACUGUGUGCGCGCGACCCCACGGGUCUGGCGCCUCAGGCCAGCUGCCAGGCGCACUGUGUGCGCGCGCAGGACGGGUCUGGGGAGUGGGGAGCUGUGGGGGGGGACCCAUGUACGGGCACGCACACGAUGCGCACCAGCUGAAUGACACACGCGCACACACACACACACACACACACACACACACACACACACACACACACACACACACACACACUCCUACAACCGCCGCCACCCCGCUCCCGCUCCACCCCCACCUCACCCCCCACCCCCCAGGGCGACUCGUUCCUGCUGGCCUUCCACAGCCCCGAGGACGCAUUGCUGUUCGCCAUGGAGGCGCAGGUGGCGCUGCUGGAGUGCGGCUGGCCCAUGGAGCUGCUGGACUGCGACGUGUGCAGGCCAGCCUACGUGGCGCACAAGUGAGUGCGGGGGAGCGGUGGCGGGUUGGUGGGGUGGUGGUGGGCUGGGUGGUGGGCUGGGUGGUGGGGCGGGGGAUGGAUGGUGUGGUGGGGAUGGAUGGGGGAAUGGGGGGAUGGGGCGGGGGCGAGGGAACGGCGGCGGGGGCGCGUUUGGGGCAGCAUCUGGCGGCGCGUAUGGUGCAGUUGUCGUGGGGUACAGUGGAGGGUGGAAAGGCGGGCUGGUGCAGACAGUGCUGUGCUGCGCCUUGUGCUGCACCGCCACCGCGGCGCAUGCGGCAGCCCCGCAUCCGCCAGCCGCUGCACGUGCCUGUCUUCCCCGUUCGCUCUCUCGCGUUCCCCUCCCACCCUCCCGCGCACGCACCCCCAGCGCGCCCCUACACGCCCCCACGCACCUCCACGCACUCACACACCCACACUCACACGCGCUUCCCCGUUCUCUACAUGAGCGACUACCCUCUACAACACACAUACACACGCACCCUCCCCUCUGUGCUGUGUUUUCCUUGCACUAUUUAACACACAUCCUCUCACACACGCGCUCACCCCCACAGCGACAGCGACAAACGGGCCAACCUGCUGGCCGACGCCGGCGACCCGGGUGGCGGCGGCGGCGGUCUGAUGGCCCUGCCGCGCGCCAGCAGCGGCCUCAGCAACAAGAGCACCUCGGAGGAGGCCAGCAGCCCGCAGGUGGGGGGUUUGGGGGGGUUGGGGGGGAGGCUGGGCGCGCGUUUGUGUGUGUGUGGGGGGGUUGCAUUCAUGAUUAUUUAAGAAGUGAAGGGGGGUUGUAGAUACCAGCCCAUACUAAACCAAACCCAAUGCAAUAGAGCGAGGAGGAGAGCGUGGUCGAUGCUUGACAACGGAGUGGCACGCGACAAUGGUCCCCAUUCCCGAAAUGCACCGAGUUCCCAGGUUCCCAGCAAUACAUCCGGGGGGGGGGUUCCAUGCAUGAUGAAGCAAAAAGCAGCGGAGUUGCAGCCAGGCAUGUUGAGGGGGAUUGUUGCAAGUGGGUGGGGAGGGUUGUGGUCUAGGGAACGGCUACCGCCCACCUGGAAUUGCAACACACACACACGCACCGCUGCCGCCUGCCACAGGCCUCCCACGGUCUGAGUAGCGGCGCGGUGGUGGCUCCCGGCGAGUCCAACACCUUCCUCACCGCCUGCCAGGCCAGCUGGAAGGAGGCCACAGCCGCCACACCCAACAACGUACUCAUAUUCCGGUGAGCCACGCCCCCCGCCCCCCCCCCAUCGGUAACAACGCGUCUGCUAUACUACUGUACCUGGCUACGCCUUCACUUCUUAGAUAAUCAUGAAUGUAACCAACCCCCCCCCCCAAACACACACACACACACAUUUACACUCACACUUACACUCUUCCCUUACACGCCACCGCCCCCCUCUCACAGCGGCCUGCGGGUGCGCAUGGGCAUGCACACCGGCAUCAGCAAUGAGGCCGACGUGGCCUACAACAAGGCGGCGGCGCGCAUGCAGUACAGCGGCGAGAUCCUCAACUACGGCAAGAGCGUCAGUGACGCGGCGGCGGGCGGCAUGAUCCUGUUGAGCGAGGCCACGUACAGGUGAGGGGGCGUGUGUAUGGGGGGGGGAGGGGUGGGGGGGGUGGGUUGGGGGUUUGGGGGGUGGGGGUUGGGGGGGUGGGUUGGGGGUUGGGGGGGUGGGGGGAAGGGGGUUGGGGGGAAGCGUGUGCGUAUGUGUGGAGGAGAGGGGUUUGGGAGUGUUCGUGGGAGGGGGUUGCAAGGAUUGGUACAGAGAAGUGUAGCGAAGUAGACAGCAGGUGUGCUGUUGCGCGUACCGAUGACCGACGGCGUCCACAGGGGGGUGAGUGGGGUUAGGAAAGGCACCUACAAUGUAUACACACACAAUGCACGUCUCCAUGCCUUGUGCUCUCUAUCACGUGAUCUUUGUCCGCACGUCCCCCCCUCCCACCCCACCCGCUCCCCCUCAGGCGCCUGCCUAUGGAGCGGCUGUGGGACAAGGCGCUGGUGAUGCACGUGGGCGAGUACCGCCUCAAGGACGACCUGCUCGUGCUGCCGCUCUACCAGGUGGGUGGGUGGGUGGGGGGGGGGGGCAGAGGCGUUGCUUUCAUGUUCAUGUUCAUUCAAGUCGUAGACCGUAGGCAAUCUUGUGUGUGGGUGGGUGGGGGGUUCGGUGGGUGGGUGGGUGGAUGGGUGGGGUGGGUGGGGUGGGUGGGUGGGGGGUUGCCACUCAUGCGGUUGCAGUAAACAUGGAAGUGCCCCACGUGCAGAGGCACCGCGGGAACACGCGCCAUACCCGGGCGGGGGGGGGGGUAAGGAGGAUUGAGGGGAGGGGGUGAGGGGGCGACGCAGCUGCUAGCAUCUGAGGCCCCGUGUCGAACCAAGCGCCAACCGGCCCUUCCUUGCUACCUGUCCACUUCCACCUCCACCUCCCCUCACACGCACCCCCCCCCUGCAUCCUGCACCGCUUGAUUAAACAUCCUUGCAACCCCCAUACACACACACGCCCCGCACGCCCCCCACGCCCCCACGCCGUGCCCGCUCCCCCCCCUCGCAGGUCACGGGUCGUCGGCUGAUGGGGCGCCUGGGCCACCUGUCCGGCAUGCGCUUCAAGGAGCAGCUCAGCCGCGGCGUGUUCACGGCGCCGCUGGGGGCGGUGAGAGCUCGCUCCGAGGAAUAGGGGGUCACCGGUGCAUUCAUGUUUAGCUAAGAAGUGAAGAAGGCGUCGCCAGGAACAGCGGGGUGGGGUGGGGCGAGGAGGGACCGCUUCGUUUCGUGACCCCUGCAAACCCCCGUUCCCCGCUGCUCACUCACCUCCUCCCUCGUCCCCGGGACGUCGGCACUUCAUAUGUGUGAUUCAAUCACUGCGUUAUCCACAUGAACGGCUACUAUUCCCCUCAGAAACACCUUUGCACCCCCCCCCACCCCUCUGCAGUCUUCAGUGCAUCCUGUACCGCUUUUCCAAACAUCCUUGCAACCCCCCCCCCCCAAAACAGGUGGCCAUGGUGUAUGUGGGCGUGGCGGGUGUGCCGGCGCUGCUGGCCUGGGACGAGCCGAUCACACGUGAGGCGCUGGCGCUGCUGCACGCCUGCCUGGCGGAGCACGUGCGCACAUGGGGCGGAUACCUGGUGGAGGCGGCGGACGAGCAGGUGGGGGCGGGCGUGUGUGGGCGGGGGGGGGGGCGUGGGGGGGGGAGAGUGUGGGGUGGGGAUGGGGAGCGUUUGUGGGCUGUGGGCGUGUGUGUGAGCCGUGUAUGGGGGCGUGGAGAAGGUGCGGGCGGGUUUGUUUCUACCAUUCCCAGUAAAAAACCAUAGCAACGAAGACGCAUGACUGGACACGUUUGUUCAAAGCUGUGGGGGGGGCGGCGAUUCAUCCAAGGCAUGUGGUCCUGUUGUGCGCGUGUUGUCCGUGUUGCCUGGGCGGGCAGGUCGGGCUGCGCUACAGGUGCAAGCAGUCCCCAGCAGUCGCAGUACACAGGCCACCCAAAGGACUCGCCACCACUCCUGCAAACCCCCAACCCUCCACCCCCACCCCCGUCCAUCCCUCCCGGGACCUCAUACGCUUUUGGGCCAAUCAUUCCGUUCGCCAUGGACGACUAACCCCCCUAACGGCUAGCUUAGCUUGGUUCGCUUCAGUUUGGGCUGGUAUUUUCAAUCCCCCCCCCUCCUCCUCCCCCUCCCCCCUCUGUACCAUUGCUCCUGGCUACGCCCUCUCGUCUUAUUUAACAUGCAUGGAAUCCCCCUCCCCCUCCUCCUCCUUGCAGGUGCACGUGGUGUUCCCGGCCGCCAGCGAUGCGGUGAUGUUCUGUCUGGCGGCGCACCAGGCCGCCAUGGAGCUGCCCUGGCCGGAGCCGCUGCUGGACCACGAGCUGGCGGAGGAGCUCAUCGUGGGAGAUGCCGUGGUGUUCAGGUGUGUGCAUGUGUGGGUGGGUGGGGGGUAAGCUGUACGGAGUGAUUACAUCACGAAACCCAAGGAGCCGGACACGAGAACGCGAGACAGACAAGUUUUGUGUGGUGGUGGGGGGGCAGCCGGUGGAGCGGGAAUGAAUGUGCGAGGGGCGGGAUGGUGGCAGUCAGCGGCAGGUCCGGACGGCACCCGGGGUCUGUAGCUGGUGGGUGGGGUUGGGUGGUAGCUGCCCUCCCCCCCAUUGUUGCCUCCCCCCCCCCGCGCCUGAAACCCCAACCACACCCCAAGAUUGCCUACCAUCUACCACUUUCUGAACUGGUCAUGAAUGCAACCCCACCCCUGCCCCCCACCCUGCAACGCCGCCGCCGCCACCCCCCAGGGGCCUGCGGCUCAAGAGCGGUGUGGACACGGGACACGCGGUGGGCGAGGUGAACGCGCUCACGGGCCGCAUCUGCUACCGCGGCAAGGUGGUGGCGCGGGCGGCGCGCGUCAUGCAGAACGCCAGCAGCAACCAGGUGGGGUCGGGGUGGUGGCGGGCGGGGAGGGGGUUACAUUCAUGACUUAGGUAAGGACGUGGGGGCGGCGGUGGUGCUGCUGCUGCUGCUGCUGCUGCUGCGGCUGCUGUCGGUCGGAGGGUUUGGAGCAGUGCUCUGCCCUGCCGCUGCCCUAGGAGUAGCAGUUUAGUCCCGAUGCGGACGUAGGGCUCCCGCAUCCCCCGUUGGGCUUGGGCGUCUUACAACCCAACUCCCUCCUAUGACUUAGUGGGACCUAGGCUCUAGGCUUGGGCAUUUAACUUCUCCCCCUCCUCCUGAUCCUUCUCCUCCUCCUCCUGGUGCUGCCCCCACGCCGCAGGUGCUGACCAGCGGUGAGGCCUGGGCGGCGGCGCUGGCGGGCAAUGCCGCGGUGCUUCAGCUGCGGGGCGUGGUGGGCGACCGCCUGGGGCCCUUCAAGCUGAGGGGCGUGGCGGAGCGCGUGGAGGUGGUGCAGGUGGGCGGGGAGGGAUUGGGUGGGAUUGGGAUGGGAGCAACAUGGGGCGGGACUGGGAAGGGGAAGUAAGGGGGAAUGUGCCCCGAAGGAGAGAGGGAGGGACUAAGCUCCAUAGCAAUGUGUGGCUACGUGAGGCGGGGCCGUGUGUGCCUCCAGCUGUCACCAUUCGGACCCUCUCCACCAACAUCGCCGCCUUCUACAUACCGGUAGCCAUGCCUGGAACCCCCCGCCAAACAACAACUGCAAGCUUUCGAACACCUCUGACCUUCUCCCCCGCCGCUCAUAACAUUAUCAAAUUCUUGAGACGCCUUGGCCCUUGACACGCCUCUCCACACAUAUGCAACCCGGCGCGCGCAGGUUCGGCUGCGGCGACUGGAUCUGCCGGGGGCAGAGGGCUGGGCGCAGGACCUUCAACAGGCGGGGGACGGCGGCGCCGGCGCAGAAGGCGGCGCCGGCGACACCGCCAGUGGCGACGGCCCGCAGAGCACACGCCCCGGCAGCCUGGCGGCGGUGGACCUGGCGGCGGCUGCUGGCGGCGGCUCCGAACGGCCGAUGUCGGGCAGCAGGUUUGGGUUCUUGGGCCGUCGGUCCAGCCAUGCAGCCAUGAUGCCCCCCGUGAACGGCACGGACCACAGCGGACGCGGCGGCGCCGCGAUGGCGCCGCCGCUGUUGCCGGCGUCGCGGCUCGGCGCCGACGGCCCGGGCAGCCCUCGCCUGUUUGGCGGGCUGCUGCGCUCAGCACGCGCGCAGAGCUUCAGCGCGGCGACGUCGGGGCUCAUAGCGCGCAUGACGGGCCGCGGCCGCGCCGGCAACGGCAACGGCAGCGGCAACGGCAGCGGCGCCCCCUCGCGCAUGCACACCUCGAACCAGGGCGCAGAGGGCAGCGGCGACAGCGGCUCCGCCGCCGCCAGCGGCGGCGGCGUCACCAUUGCGAGUGGCAGCGUGGCGGCGCUGCAAGGCGCGCCCGACGGCGGCGCCGUGCCUGCCGCCGCGAAUGCGCACGGCGGCGGCGCCAGCGGCGGCGUUCCUUCUGGAGGCGUGCUGCGCAGCCUGAGACUCGUCAGCGGUGGCAUGGGGACCGGCGCAGCCGGCGCAGGCGCGGGCGUGAUGGGCGGCACGCCUCGUGGCACGUCGGCGGGCGUGGCGUUCCCGUUCACCUCCGCGCGGCGGCUGCUGCCGUCAUGGGGCAGCACCGGCCAGGGCCAUAGCAGUCAAGACGUGGCGGCGGUGGUGGCGACCUCCAUUCCCGCCAACCGCGGCGGCGCCAGCAACUCCUCCAACAGCCAUCCCUACAUUACCGAUGCUGAUGUUGGCGCCGCCGCCGCCGCCACUGCUGAUGCCGCUGCGGCGGUGCCAUUGCCACCCCCAGUGUCAAUGCCAGCGGCGGCGCUGGCCCUGCCGUCGCAGGCGGCUGAUACUCUGCCUGGCGGCGGCGCCGCCACCGCCGGCUCUGCCGCCGCCGCGGCGGCGGCGACAGCAUCCUUGGUUGCUGGCGGUGCCAACCCCAUAUCUCCCAAGGCCGUCGACGCGGCGGCCCUUACGACGGCGGUGCCGGUGAGCGGGCCCGGUGCCGUCAGCGGUGGCGCGCCGUCAAGCGACGGGCCGGGCUGGUUCCCAGGGGAGAUGCUGGCAGACGUGUUGCAUGGGGUGCAGGAGGAGGACGAGGCGGCGGCGGCGGUGGCGGUCGCAAGAGCGGUGUCGGGUGUGGGCAUGGUCGGCGCGCUGGCGGCGGCGGCCGGGGGCCGGCAGCUGGCGGGCGGUCCGGCGGCACGCGAUGGCUCCGCGACCGUAUCGUAGUGCCUAAGGACAACGCAGCGUGUGUGGUGGCCACGAGCAGCACGGGCUGAGUUCGCGUGAAUGGGUGUAAAUGUCAGGUGUAUCCGUGUAUGGGCUCUGUUUGUAGUGCCGUAACUCAGGUACGACUUGUAGACUCAGUGCUGUUUGCAGGGCGCGGAGAAACGAGAGGGGCGUGUGCAUCCCUUGCGUGUAUGUAUCAAGGUGGUGUUUCUAGGGGGGGGGGCACGUCGCAACUUCAUCGGAAGGGCAUAGAAUAGAACAUUCGCACAGCCCCCCCAUUGACGUUCCAGGCACGCGGGUCGGUUCUCAAUGGGAUGUCCCGGUGCAAAAAUCAGGAGGACUGUCUUUAAAGUACAACAUAACAUCAGUUCUUGCUUUUCGACACUGGGUGCCGGCGGUGGCGCUGCUUGUGGCGGCCGGCCGGCCUCAACCGCGAAAGUGCCUCCACGGAUGGGGGCACAGACCCGGCGGCCGGGGAUCUCGCUGGACUACGCGACUGGCCGCUCUGCUGCGGGCUGCGAGCGUUAUAACAAUGCAGCCAUCAUCGCGCAUGAAGAGUGAGAAGCGUUUAGCUAAUCAGUGGGGCGCUGUGAUUCGCGCGGGCCGGCCUCUAACUGCCUAUAACGCCUCCGAUUCCGUCGUCUUGUGACUAUUUAUUGUGCCGGCCGCACACGCCCCUUCAAGCGGUAGAAGCUGCCGCAGCGUGAGGCGCGUGAGGGUUCCCAAGUUUAAAAGGGUGGCCCCUAUCGGGAUCGAACCGAUGACCUUGGCGUUAUUAGCACCACGCUCUAACCAACUGAGCUAAGGGGCCAGGUACUGAAUAGAUCUGAUCAUACCCAAAAUUCCGUCAUUUCCGCGCUUCCGGCGCGCCAUUCGGCAGCCCCGUCCUACGCAUUACGGACAUGGUACGCGUGCCGCCACAGCCUCCGCGCCUCCUGCCCAACAGGUGUGGCUGCAGUGGGGCCGAAAUGGCCGAUGCGUGCCGCUGACGCAAUUGUAAGUAAGGAAAUGAAGUGAGUCAGAGCCUGGCCCCUUAGCUCAGUUGGUUAGAGCGUGGUGCUAAUAACGCCAAGGUCAUCGGUUCGAUCCCGAUAGGGGCCACCCUUUUGCGGCACAAGCACCUCUCGCGUCCGAGCGCCCGCGAAGGCCGUGCUCGGUCUGUAAGCUUUCUCAUGAGGGAUUUGCAAACUUCUGGUUGUAGGUUCGAGCCUCACGGCGGGCGCCACGAGGAUGCGAUAUAAUUUAAGCGACAGCGCCACAAGCCCCGAAUGAGAAUGUUUUCUUAAAUCUCGGCGCGCAUGUUCGGAGCAGAGGGGGCGGGCAAGGCCACGUGGAGGAGGACAGCGCGGCGCCGCCUUCAAAGCGGCGCCGGCGCGCAGGUUGAGACCUGCCGGUGUUGUCUGGUUAGCGACCUGUGCUGACGAGGAUGGCGUAGCGGGCAGUCAGCUGCAGCGGCAAGGGUGUUGAGAGGUUUUCCUUGCUGUCUGGUCGGCCUGCUGCCUGCUGCACUAGUGCUUGAUAGCUGGGCGCGACUGGGCACAUAUGGCGGGCGGUGCCUGUACAAACCGACCCCGGCUAUGUCCGGGAGAUGAGGCUAGUAUCGGAACCUUCGGCCUCAGACGGAGGACGUGGCGUGGGCUCAGCCCACUUUUCCCUUGCGAGGGAGAGCCACCUUUUCUUGUCUUCCUACGGCCCUUCCUACCGUCGGCCCCCAACCUGCGCAUUACAGACACGGCGCGUGUGCCGCGGGAGCUGCAGUCCGAGCCCGUGUGCCGGCGGCGUGGCGGGUGGCGGCGCCGGCCACACUGCAUGCACCUGGCGGCGCGGCCUCUGCACCUCCUGCCCCCAGGUAUGGCUGCUAUUUGCGCAGAGCCUGGGCGGCAGGGCGCUGAAGUGCCGCUGAAGUGCCGCUGAAGUGCCGUUGCUGAACCUCACGGUGAAGCAGGCAGCCCAGCCUCAACUUGCACCUGCAUAUGACGCGCUACACGUGCAUCACUUGGCUUUCAUCCAAGAGGCCUACAGCGGUGCCGUGCCGCCAGUGGAAGCGAUUCAUGCUCUGCGUGGGGCCCUGGCACGGCUGUGGGCUCUGGUGUGGGAGCCGUGACACAAGGAACCACUCUGGCGCCUGGCAGCCAAUGGAGUAAUGGCAGAGGUGAGUAAUGGGCUUUGGGAUGCUUGCGGCUUUGGCCGGGGAUGGGCGUGUGAUGAAAUGCCUGUGAGGAACUCAGAUGACUGCUGGGGCUAGGGUUCACCACUUCUGGGACUGUGUAGUGGCGGAGGCUCUGCGUGAUGUGUUGCGGGAGCAUGCAAUUGUGGACAUCGCACAGUUGUGGUUGGUUCAGGCAGUGGUUGGCGAGGUCAAUCAGGGGGAUGGGCAGCAUCGUGGCGGACUGUGAGGAGGUGCCCGUGCCGGUGCCGGUGCUGCUGGCGGUGUUAUUGACGUGCUUGAAGAAACGCAACACGCACUGACGUUGUAGAGCCGAGGUCAGUAAGCUAGCACAUGCAAAAAGAAAAGCGUGAGCAUGAGCAGCGACCGCAACUGCUACGUUACCUUUGACGAGAUAGCCGCGCGCCAAGCUGCGCCACUCCGGCGUCCUAAAGCAUGUGACUCUCAGCUGGUGUAAACGGCUGUCAGAGGCUGGGCUGGCGUAGACUGGCCGCAGACUACCAAGCGAAGGCUGCGAUGCAUUGUGAUAGCGCGAACCCCAAGAGACCCACCUGGAACGCAGCCAGGUAUCCGCUGUGAGCCAGGAGUAGUACGUACAUGCGAGGACAAGAGGAACGAGAACGGCAGAAAGGAGGGUGCGGCAUGGCGGUUGUCAAAACGUUGAGGCUGGCGCAGAAAACAAACCAGGGUGGCUGCCUAGCUGCGGCCGGGCUGAUGCGAAGGCUGACUGGCUGCUGUGAAUGGUGAGCCGAGACUGGUAUGAAAGGCUGGUGCCGGCCAGGCGAGUUGCGCCGCUGCAUGGGGACAUGAUUCGCUGACGGGUGCGGACCGUAGUACGGUGCUGCCGACGGCGGCUGGCGGGCCGGCAAUGGAGCGGCUGGUCACCUGCACACCACAUCGCACACGAACAUACAGCGCACAUGAACACACAGCGGACCAGGAAGGAAAACCCUCGACGGGUGCAAGGAGCGGCUUGAUGUGGCUCCAGCAACAACGACAACAACAACAGCAUUCUUAUGACUUGACGAGCCUUCUUGCUUUUUGCUGCUCGCUAUUACCACCUCUCGCACCCACCAAUGCAACCCGCACCCAACCUACCAAGCCCACCUGACCCACGCAUCUACGCAUGACGCCCAGGCGAACUCCGCCAGGCUCGCACGCCGCCGCGGCACCGCCCGGGCAAGCGGCAGCGCAGCGCCGCCGCAGCGCCCACACCUGCCGCAUCCAGUCCCGCUUGGCGGUAGCCAGGGAGCGCGCGCUGCAACAUGUGUUUGGUAAAAAGAGCACAAUGGAGGUUAAGCGCGAAGGCUGUGUGUGCGAUGCACGUGUUUGUGUAUGUUUUGUGUGUUUGUGACUUUGUGUGCUUGUGUGUGUUUGUGACUUUGUGUGUUUGUGUGUGUUUGUGGAGGGGGUAUUUUACUUUUACUCCACCGAGACCCAGCACCCGCCCAACGAGCACGGGAAGGGGGGGGCGGGGGCGACAGGAGCAGGAGGUGCAUGAGGGUGUGUUUGGUGUACAUGGGGCCAGCUGGGCACCAGGGGUGCUGGGCACCACCUGCAGGCGCUGAGCACAAGGUGGCUGUGGGCGCGUGCGGCCGUACACGCACCCGGCAUACAUGCGCGGCGCCCUGCCCGCCCACGAUAUUCGGGCCCCCCAGCAGCACAACACCUGAACACUUGUUUAUGCCCCGCGCGGUGCCCCACCCACCGGUCCUCCACCCACUCCGCUGCCCCGCCCCCACCCCACCAAACCACCCACCAGGUCGCUGCCCGCCAGCGCCUCCACCGCCUCCGCCGGGAACUCCUCCACACACGAGGGCUGCCAGCCGCCGCCCAAUGACAAUACCCCAUGUCAACCCCCUCAUACCCGGGGGCCACCGCCUCCUCCCCCUCUCCCUGCCCCUCCUCAUCUGGCGGCGGUGGCGGCGGCAGUACGUCAAAGGUAGCCAACAGCCAUAUGUAGCUUCUGGCUCGAAGGCGCUUACGGAUUUGCACGGAAAGCUACAUUACCGUAAUACAUAGUGACGGGACACCAGGACUCAUCGACCAUCCAACGCUCGCAGGUCGCCGCUGCUCUGGAGACUGGAUGCUGGAGCCUGAGGACUGGACUGGAGGAUGAAGCUGGCCAGUUGACGUUGAUGUUGUUUAGUUCGUUAGGAUGCACGCACGUUGGUCGGUCGGUCUCUACUGCCUUGUCUACUGCUCAGUGCGGCUCUUGCACGCGUGUGCGGUUCUAGACUGCAUGUCUAGCACAUUCACGCGCCGGACUUCCACCGGUCCGGUCCGGCGGCCCCCUCGAUUCUAUCUCGAGCCUUUGAUGGGGCGCUCUGUCACUGUGGCUGCUGGGUAAAGCGUAGCCAGGGGGGCUUACGUCCCUUCCUUGGGGUGUGUGAGGAGUUGGUGGACUUCAGACCCCUACGCCGUGUGGGGGGUCGGACUGGG